rnacentral:lncRNA from 1 species
ACGUACAAGGUGAAGCUGGUGACGCCCGAGGGCGAGGUGGAGCUGGAGGUCCCCGAUGACGUCUACAUCCUCGACCAGGCCGAGGAGGAGGGGAUCGACCUGCCCUACUCCUGCCGCGCCGGCUCCUGCUCCUCCUGCGCCGGCAAGUUGGUGUCCGGCGAGAUCGACCAGUCCGACCAGAGCUUCCUCGACGACGACCAGAUGGAGGCAGGGUGGGUGCUCACCUGCCACGCCUACCCCAAGUCCGACAUCGUCAUCGAGACCCACAAGGAGGAGGAGCUCACCGCAUAAGCUGCUUUACCUAUCUCUCUUUGCAAGAUAAUAUCACGGACCCUGAGACCUGUGUAAACCCUGAGAGCUGAUUUCAUGCAUGCACGGACAUUGCCAGAUACACCGAAUUGUUUGUGCUCGAAUGAAUUGCUCGAUGCAUGGUUUGCUCAAGUAAUAAUGUCUUCGAAUUACUACCUUUUUGUACCGUAAGAUAUACUACUGCCGUAAUACUAGCGUGUACCUUGUACGUAACUCGACGUACUGAAAUGAAUCCUGAUGGCUGAGGCGUCUCUCUGAUUAAUAAUAUCUUCUCUUUAAUUAAGAGACUGCUGAAUUACUUGAUGAACAUCUUACCUGGGACUUUCUUCUAUAUCCAGAUAAUAGGUGCAUGCUACGACUUGUUUCAAUAUGAGUUACACAAUUUCCUCAUUAUUUUGUUUACCCACAAGGAGACCUCUUUUCCGCACUCAUUUUUGUCCUCACUACUGAUUUGCUCCAAUCCAUUUUCAAUGAAGCUUUGGACAACAAUUUGAUAGGUUUGCCCAUUAUCACUAAGAAUAACAGAGAUUUCCUUAUAAUCCAGUAUGCAGAUGACACCAUUAUUAUCUUGCAUGCAUGUCCCUUGCAAAUUCAACAAGUUCAGAACAUAUUGAUGCAUUUUCGGGUUUACACAGGUCUCAGGGUCAACUACAACAAAUCCAUGAUGGUUCCCAUGAAUGUACCUGCUCAUAACAUCAAGCAACUCUCAGCUAUUUUAGGUUGUGCCCACAGUAGUUUUCCCUUUACUUACCUUGGACUUCCUCUUGGCAUUUCUAAACCCAAGGUUGAAGAUUUUGAAAAGGAUUGGAUCUAGACUUGCUGGUUGCUCCACAAUGCUUUCCUAGGGAGAGAAACUCAUUCUUGUGAAAUCUGCUUUCACUAGCCUACCUACUUCCUUCAUGAGCAGUUUAGACCUCCCCAUAGGAGUUGUUGGCCAUAUUAAUAAAUACUUGAGACAUUGCUUUUGGAGGAAAUAUGGGAUGGACGACAGACGUACUUCUCUUAUAUUCUUGGGAUAAAAUUUGCCUUGCUAAGGAAGCUGGUGGACUUGGAGUUCUUGAUGUGCAAACUCAGAACAAAGCUUUGUUGAUGAAAGAUCUGCAUAAUUUUUUCAAUAGUUCUGACCUCCCUUGGGUGGACCUUAUGUGGAGCUCCUACUAUACUUCUACCCCCUCCUCAUGUCACACCUGUUGGUUCCUUCUGGUGGAAGUUUAUUCUCAAAUUAAUCCCUGAUUUUAAAGCCAUCUCUUCCUGCAGCAUGGGGCAAGGGAACUAUGUUCUUCUGUUAUUUGAUAAUUGGGAUGGUAACAGAUUCAUUGAUAGAUUCCCUGAGCUUCAUUCUUUUGUUGUGAAUGACCAAUUCUCAAUUGAGCAAGCAUUGCACAUCAACCCUCCAGAGGAUCUAUUCCAUAGGCCACUCUCCACCCAAACUUUCCAGCAGUUCCAGGGUUCCCAAAACUUUAUGAAUAAUAUUCAGUUUUCUGGCUCCAAAGACAAAUGGUCUUACAUCUGGGGAUCUUCUCAGUCCUCUAUUGCAAAGGUUUACAAAACCUUGAGGGUUAAACCACCUACACCACCUCUCUUCAACCUGUUAUGGAAGAGCUCAGUAAUCCUUUGAUAUAAGAUUUUCUUCUGGUUUCUCCUUCAUGAUAGACUGAAUUCAAGAGAGCUUCUACAAAGAAAAUCCUUGUGGCUACCCAAUUAUGAUUGUGGAAUGUGUGACACUAAAUCCUUGGAAACUGCUUUUCACUUGUUUUGGAACUGCCCUUUUUCUAUUCAAUGUUGGGAGACCUCGAUUCCGCAGAUAUUGAGGAACAACUCAGUUUACACAUAUAUCCAACUAGCGGUGCCCCCCCCCCUCCUGAUUUGGCCCUGGACAUCAUAAUUAUGGCUUCAUGGAAUAUAUGGAUUCAAAGAAACAAUGCAAUGUUCAAAAAUACCACACACAGUGUGGCCUCCUGGAAAAUAUUGCUUAGAAGAGAUCUCCAAAUUCUGGCUCACAGAAGACAACAAAGUAGCAAGACUGCAAGCCUGGAUUAAAGUUAACCUUUAAUUUCUCAUGUUGCCAAAAGGUGGGAUUGGUUGAGUUGUAUUUUCUUUUUUCUGUUUGUACAUACUUUUAUUAUUAAUGAAAAUUUAACCAUACAACUAUUGUUCUAUGAUCAGUGCCUAAAAAAUGUUUGAGGCUAGCAGAAUGUUUGUUUACAUGGUCCUCAUUUUUUUCUGAAAAGGGAUAAUAUGUUUGUAAGAUCGUGAAUGUCACCUAGAGGGGGGUGAAUAGGCGCUUUAAAAUAAUUACGGUUUAGGCUUGAACAAAUGUGGAAUAAAACUAGCGUUUAAUUUGUCAAGCACAAAACCUAAAACAACUAGGCUCACCUGUGUGCACUAACAACUUAUGCUAAGCAAGAUAAACAACUAAGUGAUAGAAAGAUAUAUAACAUGUCAUAUUAUGGCUAUCACAAAGUAAAGUGCAUAAGUAAAGGGCUUGGGUAAGAGAUAACUGAGGCACACGAAGACGAUGAUGUAUCCCGAAAUUCACACCCUUGCGGAUGCUAAUAUCCGUUUGGAGCGGUAUGGAGGCACAAUUGUUGGGGAACGUAGUAAUUUCAAAAAAAUUCCUACGCACACGCAAGAUCAUGGUGAUGCAUAGCAACGAGAGGGAAGAGUGUUGUCCAUGUACCCUCGUAGACCGAAAGCGGAAGCGUUAGAACAACGCGGUUGAUGUAGCCGUACGUCUUCACGGCCCGACCAAUCAAGCACCGAAACUACGGCACCUCCGAGUUCUAGCACACGUUCAGCUCGAUGACGUCCCUCGAACUCCGAUCCAGCCGAGUGUCAAGGGAGAGUUCCGUCAGCACGACAGCGUGGUGACGAUCUUGAUGUUCUACCGUCGCAGGGCUUCGCCUAAGCACCGCUACAAUAUUAUCGAUGAGGACUAUGGUGGAGGGGGGCACCGCACACGGCUAAGAGAUCAAGAGAUCAGUUGUUCUGUCUAUGGGGUGCCCCCCUCCCCGUAUAUAAAGGUGUGGAGGAGGGGGCCGACCAAGGGGGUGGCGCGCCCUAGGGGGGAGUCCAACUCCCACCGGGAGUAGGACUUCCCCCUUUCCUAUUAGGAGAGGGAGAGGGAAGGAAGAGGAAGGAGGGAGGAAGGAAAGGGGGGACCGGGCCCCCUCCCAAUUCGGAUUGGGCUUGGGGGGGCGCCCCCUCCCUUGCUCCUUUCCCCUCCUUUCCACUAAGGCCCAAUAAGGCCCAUAUACCUCCCGGGGGGGUCCGAUAACCUCCCGGAGCUCCGGUAUUGUCCCAAUCUCACCCGGAACCUUUCCGAUGUCCAAAUAUAGUCGUCCAGUAUAUCGAUCUUUAUGUCUCAACCAUUUCGAGACUCCUCGUCAUGUCCGUGAUACACAUCCGGGACUCCAAACAACCUUCGGUACAUCAAAACUCAUAAACUCAUAAUAUAACUGUCAUCGAAACCUUAAGCAUGCGGACCCUACAGGUUCGAGAACUAUGUAGACAUGACUGAGACACGUUUCCGGUCAAUAACCAAUAGAGGAACCUGGAUGUUCAUAUUGGCUCCUACAUAUUCUAUGAAGAUCUUUAUCGGUCAAACCGCAUAACAACAUACGUUGUUCCCUUUGUCAUCGGUAUGUUACUUGCCCGAGAUUCUAUCGUCUGUAUCUCAAUACCUAGUUCAAUCUCGUUACCGGCAAGUCUCUUUACUCGUUAUGUAAUGCAUCAUUCCGUAACUAACUCAUUAGUUACAUUGCUUGCAAGGCUUAUAGUGAUGUGCAUUACCGAGAGGGCCCAGAGAUACCUCUCCGACAAUCGGAGUGACAAAACCUAAUCUCGAAAUACGCCACUCAACAUGUACCUUUGGAGACACCUGUAGAGCUCUUUUAUAAUCACCCAGUUACGUUGUGACGUAUGGUAGCACACAAAGUGUUCCUCCGGUAAACGGGAGUUGCAUAAUCUCAUAGUUGUAGGAACAUGUAUAAGUCAUGAAGAAAGCAAUAGCAACAUACUAAACGAUCAAGUGCUAAGCUAACAGAAUGGGUCAAGCCAAUCACAUCAUUCUCGUAAUGAUGUGAUCCCGUUAAUCAAAUGACAACUCAUGUCUAUGGCUAGGAAACACAACCAUCUUUGAUUCAAUGAGCUAGUCAAGUAGAGGCAUACUAGUGACAUUAUGUUUGUCUAUGUAUUCACACAUGUAUCAAGUUUCCGGUUAAUACAAUUCUAGCAUGAAUAAUAAACAUUUAUCAUGAAAUAAGGAAAUAAAUAAUGACUUAAAUAUUGCCUCUAGGGCAUAUUUCCUUCAGUCUCCCACUUGCACUAGAGUCAAUAAUCUAGUUCACACCGCAAUGUGAUUUAACACUAAUAUUCACAUAUGUAUGUGAUUAAUACCCAUAGUUCACAUCGUCAUGUGAUCAACACCCAAAGGGUUUCUAGAGUCAAUAAUCUAGUUCACAUCCCUAUGUGAUUAACAACCAAAGAGUACUAAGGUAUGAUCAUGUUUUACUCAUGAGAGAAGUUUAGUCAACGGGUCUAUCACAUUCAGAGCCGUAUGUAUUUUGCAAAUAUUCUAUGUCUACAAUGCUCUGUACGAAGCUACUCUAGCUAAUUCCUCCCACUUUCAAUAUGUAUCCAGAUUGAGACUUAGAGUCAUCUGGAUUGGCGUAAAAGCUUGCAUCAUUGUAACCUUUUACGAUGAGCCCUUUUAUCACUUCCAUUAUCGAGAAAUAUUUCCUUAGUCCUCACUAAGGAUAUUCUUGACCGUUGUUCAGUGAUCUACUCUUAGAUCAAAAUUGUACUCCCUUGCCAAACUCAGAACAAAGUAUACAAUAGGUACAUAACAUAGCAUAAUUUAUAGAACCUAUGACUAAGGCAUAGGGAAUGACUUUUCAUUCUCUUUCUAUUUUUUGCCAUGGUCGGGUUUUGAGUCUUACUCAACUUUCACACCUUGCAAUACAGGCAAGAACUCCUUCUUUGACUGAUCCAUUUUGAACUACUUCAAAAACUUAUUAAGGUAUGCACUCAUUGAAAAAUCCUAUCAAGCGUCUUGAUCUAUCUCUAUAGAUCUUGAUGCUCAAUGUGUAAGCAGCUUCACUGAGGUGUUUCAUUGAGAAACUCUUAUUCAAGUAUCCUUUUAUGCUUUCCAAAAAAAUUCUACAUUAUUUCCGAUCAACAAUAUGUUAUUCACAUAUACUUAUCAGAAAUGUUGUAGUGCUCCCACUCACUUUCUUGUAAAUAGAGGCUUCACUGAAGUCCGUAUAAAACUAUAUGCUUUGAUCAACUUAUCAAAGCGUAUAUUCCAACUCCGAGAUGCUUGCACCAGUCCAUAGAUGGAUCGCUGGAGCUUGCACAUUUUGUUAGCACUUUUAGGAUUGACAAAACCUUCUGGUUGCAUCAUAUACAACUCUUCUUUAAGAAAACCAUUAAGGAAUGCAGUUUUGACAUCCAUUUGCCAGGUUUCAUAAAAUAUGGCAAUUGCUAACAUGAUUCGGACAGACUUAAGCAUCGCUACAGUUGAGAAAAUCUCAUUGUAGUUAACACCUUGAACUUGUCGAAAACCUUUUUGCGACAAGUCGAGCUUUGUAGAUAGUAACACUACUAUCAACGUCUAUCUUCCUCUUGAAGAUCCAUUUAUUUAUGGCUUGCCGAUCAUUGGGAAAGUCCACCAAAGUCCACACUUUGUUCUCAUACAUGGAUCCUAUCUCAGAUUUCAUGGCCUCCAGCCAUUUCGCGGAAUCUGGGCUCAUCAUCGCUUCCUCAUAGUUCGUAGGUUUAUCAUGGCCUAGUAACAUGACUUUCAGAACAGGAUUACCAUACCACUCUGGUGUGGACCGUACUCUGGAAGACCUACGAGGUUCUAUAGUAACUUGAUCUGAAGUUUCAUGAUCAUCAUCAUUAGCUUCCUCACUAAUUGGUGUAGGAAUCACUGGAACUGAUUUCAGUGAUGAACUGUUUUCCAAUUCGGGAGAAGGUACUAUUACCUUAUCAAGUUCUACUUUUCUCCCACUCACUUCUUUCGAGAGAAACUUCUUCUCUAGAAAGGGUCCAUUCUUGGCAACGAAUGUCUUGCCUUCGGAUCUGUGAUAGAAGGUGUACCCAACAGUUACUUUUGGGUAUUCUAUGAAGAUGCACUUCUCCGAUUUAGGUUUGAGCUUAUCAGGAUGAAACUUUUUCACCUAAGCAUCCCAACCUCAAACUUUAAGAAACGACAGCUUAGGUUUCUUGCUAAACCAUAGUUCAUAUGGUGUCGUCACAAUGGAUUUAGAUGGUGCCCUUUUAACGUGAAUGCAGCUAUCUCUAAUGCAUAACCCCAAAACGAUAGUGGUAAAUCAGUAAGAGACAUCAUAGAUUGCACCAUAUCCAAUAAAGUGCGGUUACGAUGUUCGGACACACCAUAAUGUUGUGGUGUUCCAGGUGGCAUGAACUGUGAAACUAUUCCACUUUUUUUUAAUUGAAGACCAAACUCAUAACUCAAAUAUUCAUCUCCACGAUCAGAUCGUAGAAACUUUAUUUUCUUGUUACGGUGAUUUUCCACUUCACUCUGAAAUUCUUUGAACCUUUCAACUAUUUCAGACUUAUGUUUCAUCAAGUAGAUAUACCCAUAUCUUCUCAAAUCAUCUGUGAAGGUCAGAAAAUAACGAUACCCGCCACGAGCCUUAAUACUCAUUGGUCUGCAUACAUCAGUAUGUAUUAUUUCCAACAAGUCAGUAGCUCGUUCCAUUGUUCUGGAGAACGGAGUUUUAGUCAUCUUGCCCAAAAGGCACGGUUCGCAAGCAUCAAAUGAUUCAUAACCAAGUGAUUCCGAAAAUCCAUCUUUAUGGAGUUUCUUCAUGCGCUUUACACCGAUAUGACCCAAACGAUAGUGCCACAAAUAAGUUGCACUAUCAUUAUUGACUUUGCAUCUUUUGGCAUCAAUAUUAUGAAUAUGUGUAUCACUACGAUCGAGAUCCAAUAAACUAUUUUCAUUGGGUGUAUGACCAUUGAAGGUUUUAUUCAUGUAAACAAAACAACAAUUAUUCUUUGACUUUAAAUGAAUAAUCGUAUUGCAAUAAACAUGAUCAAAUUAUAUUCAUGCUCAACGCAAAUGCUAAAUAACAUUUAUUUAGGUUUAACACUAAUCCCGAUAGUAUAGGGAGUGUGUGAUGAAUAUCAUAUCAAUCUUGGAACUACUUCCAACACUCAUCGUCACUUCCCCUCAACUAGUCUCAGUUUAUUAUGUAACUCCUGUUUCGAGUUACUAAUCUUAGCAACCCAACAAGUAUCAAAUACUCAGGGGCUACUAUAAACACUAGUAAGGCACACAUCAAUAACCUGUAUAUCAAAUAUGCCCUUGUUCACUUUGCCAUCCUUCUUAUCCACCAAAUAUUCAGGGCAUUUCCGCUUUCAGUGAUCAUUUACUUUGUAGUAGAAGCACUCAAAUUCAGGCUUUGGUCCAGCUUUAGGCUUCUUCACGGGAGUGACAACUUGCUUGUCAUUCUACUUGAAGUUCCCUUUCUUUCCCUUUGCCUUUUCUUGAAACUAGUGUUCUUGUCAAUCAUCAACACUUGAUGCUCUUUCUUGAUUUCUACCUUCGUCGAUUUCAACAUCACAAAGAGCUCGGGAAUUGUUUUCGUCAUCCCUUGCAUACUAUAGUUCUUCACGAAGUUCUAGCAACUUGGUGAUGGUGACUAGAGAACUUUGUCAAUCACUAUCUUAUCUAGAAGAUUAACUCCCACUUGAUUCAAGCGAUUGUAGUACCCAGACAAUCUGAGUACAUGCUCACUGCUUGAGCUAUUCUCCUCCAUCUUUUAGCUAUAGAACUUGUUGGAGACUUCAUAUCUCUUAACUCGGGUAUUUGCUUGAAAUAUUAACUUCAACUCUUGGAACAUCUCAUAUGUUCCAUGAUGUUCAAAACGUCUUUGAAGUCCCGAUUCUAAGCCGUUAAGCAUGGUGCACUAAACUAUUAAGUAGUCAUCAUAUUGAGCUAGCCGAACGUUCAUAAUGUCUGCAUCUGCUCCUGCAAUAGGUAUGUCACCUAGCGGUGCAUCAAGGACAUAACUCUUCUGUGCAGCAAUGAGGACAAUCCUCAUAUCACAGAUCCAAUCCGCAUCAUUGCUACUAACAUCUUUCAACACAGUUUUCUCUAGGAACAUAUCAAAAUAAACAUAGGGAAGCAACAACGCGAGCUAUUGAUCUACAACAUAAUUUGCAAAAUACUACCAGGACUAAGUUCAAGAUAAAUUUAAGUUCAAUUAAUCAUAUUACUAAAGAACUCCCACUUAGACAGACGUCUCUGUAGUCAUCUAAGUGAUCACGUGAUCCAAAUCAACUAAACCAUGUCCGAUCAUCACGUGAGAUGGAGUAGUUUUCAAUGGUGAACAUCACUAUGUUGAUCAUAUCUACUAUAUGAUUCACGUUCGACCUUUCGGUGUCCGUGUUCCGAGGCCAUAUCUGUAUAUGCUAGGCUCGUCAAGUUUAACCUAAGUAUUCUGCGUGUGCAACACUUUUGCACCCGUUGUAUUUGAACAUAGAGCCUAUCACACCCGAUCAUCACGUGGUGUCUCAGCAUGAAGAACUUUCACAAUGGUGCAUACUCAGGGAGAACACUUCUUGAUAAUUAGUGAGAGAUCAUCUUAUAAUGCUACCGUCAAUCAAAGCAAAAUAAGAUGCAUAAAGGAUAAACAUCACAUGCAAUCAAUAUAAGUGAUAUGAUAUGGCCAUCAUCAUCUUGUGCUUGUGAUCUCCAUCUCCGAAGCACCGUCGUGAUCACCAUCGUCACCGGCGCGACACCUUGAUCUCCAUCGUAGCAUCAUUGUCGUUUCGCCAUAUAUUGCUUCUAUGACUAUCGCUACCGCUUAGUGAUAAAGUAAAGCAAUUACAGGGCGCUUGCAUUUCAUACAAUAAAGCGACAAGCAUAUGGCUCCUGCCAGUUGCCGAUAACUCGGUUACAAAACAUGAUCAUCUCAUACAAUAAAAUAUAGCAUCAUGUCUUGACCAUAUCACAUCACAACAUGCCCUGAAAAAACAAGUUAGACGUCCUCUACUUUGUUGUUGCAAAUUUUACGUGGCUGCUACGGGCUGAGCAAGAACUGUUCUUACCUACGCAUCAAAACCACAACUAUAGUUUGUCAAGUUAGUGUUGUUUUAACCUACGCAAGGACCGGGCGUAGCCACACUCGGUUCAACUAAAGUUGGAGAAACUGACACCCGCCAGCCACCUGUGUGCAAAGCACGUCGAGAGAACCAGUCUCGCGUAAGUGUACGCGUAAUGUCGCUCCGGGCCACUUCAUCCAACAAUACCGCCGAACCAAAGUAUGACAUGCUGGUAAGCAGUAUGACUUGUAUCGCCCACAACUCACUUGUGUUCUACUCGUGCAUAUAACAUCUACGCAUAAAACCAGGCUCUGAUGCCACUGUUGGGGAACGUAGUAAUUUCAAAAAAUAUCCUACGCACAUGCAAGAUCAUGGUGAUGCAUAGCAACGAGAGGGAAGAGUGUUGUCCACGUACCCUCGUAGACCGAAAGCGGAAGCGUUAGAACAAUGCGGUUGAUGUAGUCGUACGUCUUCACAGCCCGACCGAUCAAGCACCGAAACUACUGCACCUCCGAGUUCAAGCACACGUUCAGCUCGAUGACGUCCCUCGAACUCCGAUCCAGCCGAGUGUCAAGGGAGAGUUCCGCCAGCACGACGGCGUGGUGAAGAUCUUGAUGUUCUACCCUCGCAGGGCUUCGCUUAAGCACCGCUACAAUAUUAUCGAGGAGGACUAUGGUGGAGGGGGGCACCGCACACGGCUAAGAGAUCAAGAGAUCAAUUGUUGUAUCUAUGGGGUGCCCCCCUCCCCCGUAUAUAAAGGAGUGGAGGAGGGGGCCGGCCAAGGGGGGUGGCGCACCCUAGGGGGAGUCCAACUCCCACCGGGAGUAGGACUUCCCCCUUUCCUAUUAGGAGAGGGAGAGGGAAGGAAGAGGAAGGAGGGAGGAAGGAAAGGGGGGCCGGCCCCCUCCCAAUUCAGAUUGGGCUUGGGGGGGGUGCCCCCUCCCUUGCUCCUUUCCCCUCCUUUCCACUAAGGCCCAAUAAGGCCCAUAUACUUCCCGGGGGGUUCCGAUAACCUCCCGGAGCUCCGGUAUUGUCCCAAUCUCACCCGGAACCUUUCCGGUGUCCAAAUAUAGUCGUCCAAUAUAUUGAUCUUUAUGUCUCGACCAUUUCAAGACUCCUCGUGAUGUCUGUGAUCACAUCCGGGACUCCGAACAACCUUCGGUACAUCAAAACUCAUAAACUCAUAAUAUAACUGUCAUCGAAACCUUAAGCGUGCGGACCCUACGGGUUCGAGAACUAUGUAGACAUGACCGAGACACGUUUCUGGUCAAUAACCAAUAGCGGAACCUGGAUGUUCAUAUUGGCUCCUACAUAUUCUAUGAAGAUCUUUAUCGGUCAAACUUCAUAACAACAUACGUUGUUCCCUUUGUCAUCGGUAUGUUACUUGCCCGAGAUUCGAUCGUCGGUAUCUCAAUACCUAGUUCAAUCUCAUUACCGGCAAGUCUCUUUACUCGUUAUGUAAUGCAUCAUUCUGUAACUAACUCAUUAGUUACAUUGCUUGCAAGGCUUAUAGCGAUGUGCAUUACCGAGAGGGCCCAGAGAUACUUCUCUGACAAUUGGAGUGCCAAAACGUAAUCUCGAAAUACGCCAACUCAACAUGUACCUUUGGAGACACAUGUAGAGCUCCUUUAUAAUCACCAAGUUACGUUGUGACGUUUGGUAGCACAGAAAGUGUUCCUCCGGUAAACGGGAGUUGCAUAAUCUCAUAGUUGUAGGAACAUGUAUAAGUCAUGAAGAAAGCAAUAGCAACAUACUAAACGAUCAAGUGCUAAGCUAAUAGAAUGGGUCAAGUCAAUCACAUCAUUCUCCUAAUGAUGUGAUCCCAUUAAUCAAAUGACAACUCAUGUCUAUGGCUAGGAAACACAACCAUCUUUGAUUCAAUGAGCUAGUCAAGUAGAGGCAUACUAGUGACAUUAUGUUUGUCUAUGUAUUCACACAUGUAUCAAGUUUCCGGUUAAUACAAUUCUAGCGUGAAUAAUAAACAUUUAUCAUGAAAUAAGGAAAUAAAUAAUAACUUUAUUAUUGCCUCUAGGGCAUAUUUCCUUCAAAAAUGCCCCCCAGGAAACCACUAGGGCCACCGUAAUCUCCUCAUGCCCUUGCACAAUGCAAGAUGCCAUGAUUCCACUAAGGGACCCUUGAGGGCAGUUAUCGAACCCGUACAAAUGGCAACCCUAGGGGGAGGUCACCGAACCCGUACACUUUGGCAACCCUUGGGGCGGUCACUGGAACCCGUACAAAUUCCUCGGUGCAAUCUCCACAACCUAAUUGGAGACCCCGACGCUUGCCCGGAGCUUUACACCACAAUGAUUGAGCUCCGAGACACCACAAACCAUCUAGGACGCCCAAGCACCCAAGAGGAACAAGCUCUAGGGUACCAAGCACCCAAGAGUAAUAAGCUUCUCAACUUUUCACUUCCACGUAUCAACAUGGAGAACUCAAAUUGAUGCAACUAGUGCAAAGGCAAGGGCACACGAAGUGCCCAAGUCCCUCACUCUCAAAUCCCAUCAAAGCAACAAAAGCUAUGAAGGAAAAUGGGAGGAAGAACAAGAAGGAGAACACCAAGAACUCCAAGAUCUGGAUCCAAGGGGUUCCCCUCACAUAGAGGAGAAAGUGAUUGAGGAAAUGUGGAUCUAGAUCUCCUCUCUCUCUUUCCCCCCAGAAAAUAGCAAGAAUCCAUUGAUUAAUUGAGAGAUAGCCAGCUCGAAGAAGUUCAACAAUGGGGGAAGAACACGAGCUCAAAGGAUAAGAUGCAAUGGGGAAGAAGACCCCCUUUUAUAGGCCUCUCCAAAUCCAACUGUUAUGCACACAGCCCAUGCACAAGCGGUAGUACCGCUCGGGCGAGCGGUACUUCCACUGGCAUGGUAGUUUCAUCCAUAAUGAGCAACUAAGAAACUCAAGGAGGCGGUAGUGCUACCGAAGCGGUACUACCGCUCCCAUACUACCGCUAGGCGUUGCGUGUAUAGGUGAAACACCGAUAGUAUAGUAGAGCAGCGCGGUACUACCACCCACUACUGCCGCUCUACUUCCGCACAGAGGAAAAUGUAUCCAGAGGCUAAAAUAUAAUCGGAAGUAGCAGCGGUAGUGAAGGGACCGUGGUACCGCUUAUAAGCGGUACUACCGCCCACUAUUGCUGCUCUACUUCCGCUUGAAGGAAUACAAAGAGCAAAACAUAAGCGGUACUCCAUGCGGUAGCUCAUAGUGUAAGUACCGCAUAAGCGGUACUACCGUGGAGCUGGCCGGAACUACCGCUUGGGAGCUAAAAACUGCCCAAGCACAAAAGGAUGCAAGCGAGACCGAAACUGCCAUAACUUCUGCAAAUGAACUCUGAAUUGAGCAAACUCAAGCUUGUUGGAUAGAUGACGACAAAUAGUAAGAAGUGGCAGGGCAAGUAUGCCUAUUAUAUAUAGGAAUGAAACCUCUAUCAGUGAAGAACCAUCAUAUACUCCCACAUCAAAAACAUCAUAGAGGAUGCACAUGAACUCUGUUUCGAAGAACUCGAGCUUGUCAUGAAGAUGACCAUAAGCUAUAAAACUCACAAAGAGAAACACCAAAUAAGAACCAAGAAAGAUGAUGCAAGGAUGCAAUGGUUUGAGCUCUCUACGAACGAUAUGAUCAAGCUACUAACUUGAGAGCCCCCCCUUGAUAGUAUGACAAUCGAUCAUAUAACCCGGUCUCCCAACUACCACCAUGAGACCGGUAAAAUAGAAAACCUAUCAAGGGCAAACCUUUGCCUUGCACAUAGUCCACUUGAGAUAGAUGAUGACGAUCUUGACUUCCACAAGUUGGACCAUGAUAACCCACAAGUAUAGGGGAUUACAGUAGUUUUCGAGGGUAGAGUCACUACUAGGAAAAGGCCUGCUAGUGGCGCACCUGUUUUGGCUACUAAUGGCGCACUACAGGUUCGCCAGUAGCAUCACGCCAUUAGUAAUUAAUACUAAUGGCGCACCCCUGGUGCGCCAUUAGUAUACCAGAUACUAAUGGCGCACCAGAGAGUGUGCCAUUAAUAUAUCACACGGUGCGCCAUUAGUAUGCCUCCCAGGGGGCCAUAUUUACCCAUGUGCUCUGGCUUACUAAUGGCGCACUUGUAGAUGAUGUGCCACUAGUGUGCUUGUUGCAGUGCGCCACUAAAGUGCAGAGUGGUGUGCCACUAGUAUGAAUAUUAGGGAUUUUUUUUCUUUUCUGAUAUUUGCACAUGUUACAAAACAUAUUACUGCACAGAAUAUAGACAACACAACAUAUAAACAGCAGAUUUAUCGAAUACAAUAGAAGAUUAGUCUCCAAAUACAAUUCAUCAUAUUAGUCUCCGAAUUUAAAAUACCAAACAAAGUUAGAACAUUACAAGUCUCGAGACUGCGAGUAGCGGGUUUGUCUUCACAUUACAAGUCGAUAUCGAUCAUCUAAACUACCAUCACAUAGAAGAGAGCUGCGGUCAUCACGAUGAGCAUCAUCACGAUGAAACUGGUCUUCAACCGGUUCCUCCAACGCUCCCUCCUCUCUCCCGCUAGAUAGCGUGUGUAUCUAACUUCCACCUCCGCCCUAGUGGUGUACCCUUUGUAACUGUUAUCGCUGAAACAGUGAACCUGUCUCCAACACUCCUCCCAGUCGUCGUAGACUCCGGGAACCUUACCCUUGUACACAACAUACGAUGACAUAUCUAUGCACUAGCUAAACAAAAUGUUAGUAGCAAUUCACAGACAAUACAUAAGCAAUAUAUAAGUAUGCAACAAAAGGAUCGGAAGAGAAAAGCAACACAUUAAUAGCACGAUUCAUGGUCCUACUAAUAAAUAGCAUCGAUUACAUAUAAGUUGAACGACUAUCCAAACCAAAGAGACAUACAAGUUCAUUAAAGUUUAAUAUUACAACAUGAGCCAAUCGACAUUUCAGAACUACAUAGCAUCACUACUUUCGACUCGACUCAGGGACCGGAGGGUGGAUGAAGCCGCCGUCUUUCGUGAUGGUCAUGAAAUUGCGGGCGUUGUCAGCCUGCAUUUGUAGCAUUGUUUCUAUCUCACUGUUGGACAGUUGAUAUCUGAGGUAGAACUGCCCCGAGGUACGAAGGACAUCUUGAUGGAUGAUUUUCGCAAACUCCGACUGGAUGCGAUAGAAUUCUUGUCUGAUGUCUGCGUCCUGGAUUGCCGACAAGCGUGUGGCCCCGUACGAUCGCCCACAUGUGAUGGAGGGCAUAGUAGGCAUCCUUUUGACUUCCAGGCGGCUGAUUGACGUAGAGGAACAUCGUAUUGUGGGUGAACAUGUGCUUGCCGUACCUACGAAUUGUCCUGGUGAAGGUGCCUCCAGAUCUGGCGUAGCCGGGAAGAACAUCAUCAAGAACUUUCUUGAUAUUUGUGUAGUCUUUCUUCGACUGACGGUCUGAGUCGAAAUACAUGGCCAUGGAAUAUUUCAGGCUUAAGAGGAUGAGUGUGCAACAUGUGUCACUGCACAAAACACGGAAUGUUAGAAAAAAAAGAACGAUCAAAAUCUAAGAAAUCAUAUGUUACGGGGCGGUGAGGGGAUGACUUACUCGGGAAAGUAAGGCACGAGGAAGUUAUCCUUAUCUGGGUUUGCCAGAAUGACGCCUUCGAGGUGUGAACUCGCGACUUGCCGGUCCCCAGCGCUGCCCAAGAUCUUGGCACGCAUGUAGAAGGGGUCGACUAUCACGAUGUCCGGGGUCUUGUAUCUAAUAAUCCGCAUCUCCAUACUCAGCGAAAAUAGCCGAAUGAAGGUGUAGUGCAGCGGAUGAAGGUUAAACAUAGUGAAGAUGUCAUCAAACCACAGGACGAUUGUACCCCCGAUGGCGCUAUCCACAAAGCCCUUGCCCUCUGGCACCUUGGCCACAAAAAUCGGGUAUGCCACAUCAUUCUCGAAAAGACGCUGCUUCUCCAAAGAAAGAACACUGUCAUGCAGACUCUGCAUAGCACCGGUUGCAGCAUUGAGCAGAUUAGUCGGUAGCAUCGGCCUACCCGCCACAUGCACCCUCCUCGAGAUAUCCUUAGGUGAAGGUGGCCCGUCCUGAGAACGGAUCGUACUCGGUGCCGGCUGGCUCGCACCGCCCUUGUUAUUCUUUUGUUUCCGUCCCAUCUUCUUCUGAUGUAAUGGGAUCGAGUUCUGCUCAGAGACCGCCUUCUUGAGUGUGUUGGGGCUGAUAAUAUUUCGCACCUCAACUAUCUGAGGCUCGGUGAAGGCGGCAGCUGGAGGUGUCUCCUGAGAACUAAACGCCAGAUGACGCCUGUUGCAAUUGGGUUUCUCCGUGGUACCAGCUAGACUGCGGUCGUCUUUUGCAGGGUUGGGUUCUUGAGAAGGAGGCCCCAAGAAUUCGUCACUAUACCCAUGUUCGGCAAAGUACUUAUCAACGUUGGUAAAUGUAUCGUCGUUGUCAUCGUCGUCGUUUGGAUCCUGUGCCAUAUGCAUGUCCGGCAUGUCCAGUAGCGUUGCGGCGGUCUUGCCAUGGCUUGGCACCGGCACGACUAGCGGUGUUGUCCGUGGGGUGCUGUCCCCCGCCCCCAAACGAAUUUGGCUCUUCAGCCAAAGCAGGGGCCAGCUUACGCAGGCGCUGAGGGUCAUCAAAUCAUCUUCGUCGGCCCCAGUGGGUCGAAUCAGAGGUAAAAACUCGUCGUAGCCUGGCAGCACCCGAACCAGUUCAACCAUAUACACGGUGGGUGGCAUCGGAUUACCGUGGAACACGGGGUUGCCCGGUUGAACGAUUCUGCCCUUGGCAACAUCGAUCAACUCGCCGCCCACGAAGUGCAGGAGAGUGCAUGGAAUGUCGGCGGCACCCUGUGAAAACAUGUAGGGCGUCAGGGAUGCCCAGUCAAAGGCAAGGAGAUGAAGUCAUCGGCCGAGAGGCUUAGUUACCGUGAUGGCGUCGAUCUCGGCUAAUGUCGAGGCACCGCCAAUGGCGGGCAUGCAACUGACGGAGGGGCCGCUUGCUGCCGAGGUGCCGGCCGGCGUACACCCGGGUGCAUUAAGCUCCAAUGCCCGUGCCGGCGCCGGAGACACCAAUACCGCCUCCGCCAGAGACACCAAUGGCGCCACCUGCGCGUUGUGCGCGUUGCUGGCCGUGAAGCUGGGAACCGGGGGCGGCCCCUGUUGGCCGCCCACAAUCCACGCCUGCAGCCCCUCAAUCAAGGUAGGCACAAUGGCGGUGAGCGUCGUUCCCAGUUGGUGUUGCACUAGCUCUUGGACCAUCUCCGGAAUCCGCACCACUUGUGCCUUGAGUUCUUGAACCUUGCGCGACUGGCUUUCUGAGCUGGUCUUUCUCUCCUUUCGCCCACCUGCGUUAUAGUAUGACGACCAUUUUGUGGACAAGCCUUUGUCGGCCACACGACCAGCUGAUGACGGCUUACUGAACUUAUCCUUGUUUUUCAUUAUGUUGAACGCCCUAUUUAAAGUGUUGUCCCAAGGGGAGCUCUGAGACGACCCCGCGCUACUGCUUUCAGUCUCCCGCGGAAGGAAUGUGAACCAUUUAGAAAUUUGGCUUCAUUAAUUAGAAUGCAACCAUAUGGAGCUAAUUACGCGGGGGUGUAUUCCUUACCAGAACACGCUCAAGCGCCUUGGUCUUCGCAUCCGUGGUAAGCUCCUUUGUUACUGGGUCCUCCUUGUACCGGUCCCUGACAUAGUUCCUGGUCUGCUUGUCACAGUAUUUCUCGAAGCGGGGCGGUAGGCCUUGCUCGGCACGCUCCGCAUCCUCCUUGUCCCAUAUAAGUUCCGCCACUCUGUAACCGCCGGGACCGAGUUGGUGGACCCCUAAAUUCAAGUCCCGCAUUUCUUUCCUCCACUGACUUGAUUCCACGGUCGUGCUUCUCUCACACUUGAUCUUGAACUCCUUGUAGUCAUCUUCGUUGAUCGAAGGAUUUUUCGCCUUGAUCUUCUCAUAACUAUCACCUUUGUCAAUCAUUCUCUUCACCGCGCUUCUCCAAGUAGACAGGGCCGUGCUCAUCUUCAUGAGGGCGGCACUGUUCACUUUAUUCCCUGAGAGGCGUUUGUUUGCAAAAUCAGCGGGGAACUUGUAUCGUUCGUGUAGCUUCAUGAAGAGGAGGCUGCGCAAAUUCCCUCGGUCAGGAUGCCUUAGGUUCUCGGUGUUGAUCGAGACGGUGCUCCGAAGAAUGCACCCGAGCUGAACCGAGUACCCCUUGACUAAUUCUUUGGGCACCGUUGGAUGCCCGUCGGAGGACACUUCAGUAAAUUCCUCCUUGACGGUGCCGAGCAUGUUCGGGCGCCGGUCCUUCUGUUGCCUCUUUGGUUGGCUGCCAUCUGUGUGUGCGCUGCCAUCAUCAGUGGUGGCAUCCUCGGCGGCACCAUCAGUGGUGUCAUCCCCGACGCCACUAGGGGUUGUGUAGUCAGGAUCGGUGUCUUCCGCGGCAUCCUCAUAGCGGUGAGGUUCUUCCUCCAUCUCUUGGGACAGCUCACAGAAUUGCUUGCCCGAACCGCCGGCCUCAUCGUUGUGGGCCAUGUUUUGCUCUAAAUAGGAAAGAAGUUUGGUCAAAAAGUUGGUUAUUGUCAAGGAACAAGAUCAUGGUCUCAUCAUUUAGGAUUUAUCGACAUCGAGGCAUCCUAAAAGCUAAGCUUUUAUCGUUUAGGGUUUGUCGACGCCGUGGCACCCUAAAAGCCUAAGCUUUCAUCAUUUAAGUUUUUAUCGACACCGAGGCACCCUAAAAGCCAAGGUUUUAUAAUUUAGGGUUUGUCGACGCUGAGGCACCCUAAAUGCUAAGUUAAGUUUUCAUCAUUUAGGGUUUAUCGAUGCCGAGGCACCCUAGGUUGACUGAUAUAUAUGGGUAUCUUCUAAUAAUAUACCCUAUCAAGAAAAGGGAAGGAUAAUUCUAAGUUGGGCCAAAUCACUUGGCUCUAUUACCACCUAUGGUUUAAUGCAGCAAGAAUAAAGGGGCAGUUGAUCCUACUUAAUUAAGUACUAAGAUACCCCGACCCAUGCAUUAGUCGCAAGUACCCCAUAUGUCCUAUUUUUAGCAAAGUCAUGCUAAAAUUCACGGAAAAUUUCAGCAUGACCUUUGCUGAAAAUAGGACAUAUGGAGUACCCAAAUUUGCCGGAACGGAAGUUAAUCGACAUUCCGGCAAACUCAAGGGCCUCUCAGGGUACCUGCAAAAUCAUUAUCCCCGCGUAAUGAAGUAGCCAAUGGGUCAUUUCAAAAUAUCACAAGUAGCAUCAUCACAAGUACAACAUCAUCACAAGUACAGCAGCAGUAGCAGUGAAUACAGGCAUAACAGCAGCAGCAACAGGUUUAUUCUUCUUCUUCAUAAACACUAGUUGUCUAAUUGAGCAAUACAGCGACAGUGUGAACAAAUAAAAACACAAACUACACCUACAUAUUUGGGUACCUCUAUGGUAGUAACAUGCCAUGCUCUGCCUAGAGCUACUGCAGCAAUCAUUGUUAUACAUUUCUCUGAAUAGUAUAUAUGGCUUGAAAUGGCAGAACAGGUUACAGUAAUUAGAUGAAUGAAAUGCAUAAGUGUCGAAUCAAAACAAUAUAAAAAAUACCAUGUUCCCUAUGCUGUUUUGAUACACGAUAUGGGUGAAGUGACAUGACACUUCCAAAAACAAGGAUACAACAAUCACUGGUCCCAAAUGAUAAUACAAGGUGGUGUAGAUCUCUAAGGAGCGGCAUUAAAAGGGAAGGGCAUGCGGCAAGAUGCCAUCAAGCUCCCAGCAACAAUGGUCGGGGAGCAUGUCCACAUUAUGCAUGAGAGGAAGGCUUGUAUACAUUAUAAAGUAUGUUUUAAAUAUUUAAACAUCGACAUGAUUCAGAUACUGAGAAAAAUAGAAUGGAAUCAUUGUUAUAGGAUGCAACAGCUAUGACAACUCACUGAAGUAUCAGGGAAAUCUUUACCUAGCAACACAAGUUAAUAGGCUGAUAUUUUCUCCAUAUUUUUAUUGAAAAGGAAGUUCAAACCUCCUGGCAGUCACAAGUGACAGGAGCUGUGCCUACCACUAGGAUGACCACUUUAAUUUUUUUGCUUCUUUUUUUGAGAUAGAAGCACUUUCAGUCUCAGAAACAAAGAUCACACAGCUUUAUAAAAUCAACUUUACAGGAAGUAUUCGUGUAAGGAAACAUUAAUAAGUAUCUAAGUGUUUUUAGUUCAUUUUAUACAAAAGACAAACAACAACCCUUUUCUUUUGCAUCGGAAGAAAAUUCUAGUACUAUGUGAUAAGCUUUAGAAAAUGGAGUACUUACAGCAACUAUGCAGGCAAUCAAUCCAGGCUUCUCCCGGUGAUCCAAAGAAACAAAGAAUAGAAGAAAAGCACCAAUAUACCAGAGAAUUGCAGCCAAGAAGAACCCUAGUAAGAACCUUCAAAACAAAACCAACCUAAAGUCUUUAAUAUGGAUUGAUUGUGCUUUCAUUUUAAAUUUGCAGGUAAGAACAAUGAACUUAUAGAAACUCCUUAAUAUGAAUAUUAUACCGAUGAUAAAAGAUGUCAGAUUACUAGUAGAUAGCAAAGCAGUAGACAACACACUCAGAAGUAACCAUGCCAGUUUAGGAUAAUCCUCUGCUGAUGCAUCAACUUAUAUCCUAAUCCAAUUCCAGUACCAUUUGAUCGCACCAUAUAUUAUAAAUAUGGCCAUGGGCCCUUACCAACCUGACCAAUACGAGUACUAGCACCUCACAAAUUCUCACUAGCAAGCAUAUCUUCCAAAUGCUGCUCGCCGAACUUGUUAAUGAAACAGUUACUCAUGCAAUCCCCCAUUCACAUACCAAGUACUCAUACAGUCGUACUGAACCAAGUGCUCAUGUUGUUACCUUCUUCAAGAGCUUCCUAAUUUUGCCACACCGAUCACAUUGGAGACAAACACCACCAAAAUGAAGGACACUUACAAAGCCCAGCCAACGCCGACGCCAUAGAACGGCAGUCGCGGCUCCCGGACUGGGAGGCCCUCCACCAAGACCUGCUGUUGGAUAGUGCACGGGAAAGCAACAACGCCCUGAGCAGGAAAGUGCUGCUGGAUAGUGCAGAGGCAGGGAAGUGUUAGUACCUGUAGAGAAACCUAGGGGGAAGGAGGGGAGGAGAGAGGAGGAAUCACCUAGAGGAGAACGGCAGGCAGCUGUAGGAGGACGCUGGCGUCGAGGAGGCUGCGGGCGGUGGCGCGUCGAGGAGGCGGCACGUUCUUGCUUCCCCAAGGACCGAGACGGCGAGGCGGGCCGGUGGCAGCGUUGGAACCCUAGCGUUGUUCGGUCGGAGCACCUCGUCGGAGAGGGCGCGACGGUCAUCAGAGCGAGCGAGAGGGUCGUCAGAGCGGGUGUGGAGCGGGCGCAGGGAUCAUCGGAGCGGGUGUGGCGAGGGAGGGAAGGGGGAUCUGGCGAGGGAGGGACGAAGGGGGAUCGGGCGAAGGGGGGAUUAGCUAGAGGGGGGAAGGUUAGUAAUGGCGCACCCCCUAGCGGUGCGCCAUUAGUAAUCUUUUUUUGGAUAGCGAUGUCGCACCUCCUGGCAGUGCACCAUUAGUAAUCUUUUUUUGGAUAGNNNNNNNNNNNNNNNNNNNNNNNNNNNNNNNNNNNNNNNNNNNNNNNNNNNNNNNNNNNNNNNNNNNNNNNNNNNNNNNNNNNNNNNNNNNNNNNNNNNNNNNNNNNNNNNNNNNNNNNNNNNNNNNNNNNNNNNNNNNNNNNNNNNNNNNNNNNNNNNNNNNNNNNNNNNNNNNNNNNNNNNNNNNNNNNNNNNNNNNNNNNNNNNNNNNNNNNNNNNNNNNNNNNNNNNNNNNNNNNNNNNNNNNNNNNNNNNNNNNNNNNNNNNNNNNNNNNNNNNNNNNNNNNNNNNNNNNNNNNNNNNNNNNNNNNNNNNNNNNNNNNNNNNNNNNNNNNNNNNNNNNNNNNNNNNNNNNNNNNNNNNNNNNNNNNNNNNNNNNNNNNNNNNNNNNNNNNNNNNNNNNNNNNNNNNNNNNNNNNNNNNNNNNNNNNNNNNNNNNNNNNNNNNNGCGGUGGAGCGGGGAAGGGUGCGGGGGGUCGGCAGCGGCGGUGGAGCGGGGGAGGGUGCGGGGGGUCGGCGGCGGCGAGGAGGAUCUGAUGAGGGGGGGUAGCGAUCGAGAUGGAGGGGGAUCUGGCACGGGGGGUGCGCCAUAAGUAACUUUUUUAUUAUUACUUUUAGUUGCGUCUAAUAUUUUUUUAGAAAAUGACGAUCAAAUUUGAAAAAAAUUAUGAAUGUGAAAAAAUAUGAUCAAAUUUGUUAUUUGAAAAUAUUUAUGAAUAUAAAAAAAUAUCAUCAAAUUUGUUAUUUGAAAAAAUCAUCAAAUUUGUUAUUUAAAAAUAUCAUCAAUAUUUUUUUUGGAUUUUUAGUUGCAUUCAUUUGUGAAUUGGUAAAACAUUUAUGAAUAUGAAAAAAUAUCAUCAAAUUUGAAAAAAUAUUCAUGAAUUCAAAAAGUGCCCAUGAAAUUUAAAAAUAUUCAUGAGUUCAAAAAAUAUUAACAAAUUCAAUACUUUUUGUGAGUUAGAAAUUCAAUACCAUAAUAAACAUAAAUAAAUAUUCAUGAGGACACUAGAACGGAAGAAAUAUCAUUUCAAUAUCUCGAAAUACAAUCGAGAAAUGAAGGCUACAAUUUACAUACAAUCGAUCUUAGCUAGCUAUAUGUUCACAAUCUACUUUCCCUUAUUUUUCGCAAAUGGAGUUCUUCUCUUGAACGGACGCCCUUUAGGUAAGGUGGUCCUGCUUCUUCUUGUGGUGUAUGCUGGUACUUCAUCAUCGUCGUCAUGUUCCAUCUUCGGGUGGCCGUACUUGUCGAAGUCUUGCUCAUUGGCGACUCCAUCCAUUUCGAUGAUCUUCCUUUUGCCUCUCCUCACGACGACACGACUGGGCUUUGACGGGUAGGUAAUGAAGAAGCAUUGGUCCACUUGGGAAGCUAGUACCCGUGGCUCAUUUUUCGCGGUGACGUUUGCGCCCGCGGUCUUGGAUUUGGCUUCGGGUAUAACCAUGGUGGUGAAAUACCGAUCUUCUUUUAGGAAGCUCUUGGCCCAUCUGACAGGGAACAUCAGGACCUUCUCUCCAGCGUAGCUCAGCUCCCAGAUCUCCUCGAUCCUUCCGUAGUAUCUGUCCUUGUCGUUACCGGUGUAGGAUUCCAUUGUUACCCCGGAGUUCUGAUAACCAUCGCUCUUCAUGUCCUUUCCCUCGGUGUAGAAUGUGUAGCCAUUGAUAUCGUACGCCUCAUACGUCAUCAGAUUGUGCUCGGCGCCCUAUGACAAGGUGAAUAUGAGUUGUUCUUCCGCGGAAGAAUCCUCAUGUAAAGGGUACGACAGAAGCUUCUGCUUGAACCAACGCGUGAAACAUGAGUUGUGCUCUUUGAUUAUAUCUCCGUUCAUCCUCUGUUGGCCUCAGUCAUUGUACGUCUUCUCAAUAAAGGUUUUGUGCUCUACCACCCAAGGAUCGACCAUGUCUAUGUGUUGUAGCGCGACUAGGUUUGCUCUUUCAAAGUCGGCGAGUCGACCCUCGAAGUCGAGAUGCAUUUCACGGCGACCAUCACGGUGACCCCAUCCAGCGAGCCUGCUGAGGUGCCUGUUGAUGGGAAGACCAACGGUGUUCUCGAUGCCUAGAUAAUUCGUGCAGUAGGAGAUGCACUCUUCGGUCAGAAAGCCCCUGGCCAUGCUUCCCUCUGGACGUGACAUGUUGCGAACGUAUCCUUUGAUGACACCAUUCAUCCUUUCGAACAACAUCAUGCUGUGCAGGAACGUCGGCCCGAGUUGGAUGAUAUCCUCCAUGAUAUGGACCAGCAGAUGCACCAUAACGUCGAAGAAUGCGGGCGGGAAGUACAUCUCAAGCUCGCAUAGUAUCACCAUGAUCUCUUCAUGUAGCCUUCUGAGUUGCCUCACGCCAACCGACUACUGAGAGAUGACGUCGAAAAAGUUGCAUAGGACAAAUAGCGUUUCACGGACGUGCGCGUCCAUGAUCCCACGGAUUGCAACUGGAAGUAUCUGCAUCAUCAGCACGUUACAGUCGUGAGACUUCAUCCUGCUGAACUUCUACUUCGCUGAGUCUAGGUAUCUGCUUAUCUUCCCCGCGUAACCGUAAGGAAGUUUUACUCCUACGAGGCAGGUGAAAAACUGAUUGAUCUCCUCCUGACUUAGAGUGAAGCAUGCGGGAGGGAAGUCAUUUCCGGUCUUCUUGGCCUUUUUGCCUUUGCGACGACUUUCCGUGUCCUGCUUCGCCUCAUCAUCAUCAUCAUUAGCGUGAAGCUCCUCCCUGAUGCCCAUUGAUUUCAAGUCUGCCCUUGCUUUCGGCCCAUCUUUGGUCCUCUCUGGCAUGAGCAGGGUACCAAGCAGACUCUUACACACGUUCUUCGUGAUAUGCAUGACAUCAAGGCUGUGAGGCACACGGUGGAUCUUCCAGUACAGCAAGUCCCAGAAAACAGACCUCGUUUUCCAUACCUUCAGCAGCGGCUCUGGUGCCUUUCGCUUCUUUCCCAGCUCUGGCGCCUUUUGCUUCUUUCCCAGCAGUGGGCAAUCUUUCCAAUUUUUCAAUAGCUCGUCUAUUUCCUUGCCACUCCUCGUACGCGGGCGUCUUCGGGGUUCGGUUUCACCAUCGAACAUAUCCUUGCGUUUCCUCCAUGAGUCAUCAUCGCAAAGCCACCUUCGAUGUCCCAUGAACACGGUUUUUGAAGACCCGGGAUUUCUAUCUAGCUGGCGAUACGUUGUGUCAUCCAUGCACCUGACGCAUCCAGAAAAUCCGUGGACCACCUUCCCCGCGACAUAUCCGUAACCGAGAUAGUCCUGCACCGUCGUGAGCAGUGCGACUCUCAUAGGGAAAUAUUCUUUCUCUGCGGCGUCCCACAUAUUGGCUGGCGUUUUCCAUAGCGUGUCUAGCUCCUCUUUCAGCAGCCCCAUAUACAGAUUGAUGCCAUUCCCUGGUUGUUUCGGCCCUUCAAUUAGCAUACUCAUGUGAAUGUACUUCCUCUUCAUGCACAACCAGGGGGGAAGGUUGUAUAUCCACACAAACACAGGCCAGGUGCUAUGUGUGCUUCUCUGGCUGCCAAACGGAUUGACUCCAUCGGUGAUCGCGCCCAGUAUGAUGUUCCUUGGAUCGUUCCCAAAUUCUGGGUGUUCGAAGUUCAACGCUUGCCGCUGGCUCGCAUCCUUAGGGUGACUCAGCAUCUUGUCUUUUUUAUUUAUCUCUGGAUCAUUUGCGUCAUCUUCUCACUUCUUCUCCUCCCUAUCCGCGUGCCAACGCAGGAGCUUUGCUACCUUAGGGUCCGCGAAAUACCGCUGCAGACGAGGAGUGAUCGGAAAGUACCACACCACUUUUCAAGGAGCUUUCUUCCUCUUCUUGUAUCGAGUGACGCCGCACACCGGUCAUAUGGUAGACUCUGCGUGCUCAUCCCGAUAAAUGAUGCAAUUGUUCAUGCACACAUGGUAUUUCACGUGUGGUAAAUCCAGAGGACACACGAUUUUCUUCGCCUCCUCGAAACUGGUCGGGCACUUGUUCCCCUUGGGAAGACGUUCGUGCCAGAAUGACAUGUUCUCGUUGAAGCAUGCGUCGGUCAUUUUGUGUUUUACCUUCAUCUCCAGAGCCAUGAGCAUUACUUUCAGGCAGGUAUCCUCGGGCCUGCAUCCUUCAUCCAAUGGAGUAACCACGUCUAUCUCCAGUUGAUCCAUCUUGGCUUUCUCUCGGGCGGCAGCUCUUGCGUUAUCGGUCUACUUGAGAAGCAGCUCUUGAAUAUGAGGGUCCUGCACCCAGCCCAUCGAUGGGCCAUCGUCGUCUGCUCCGACAUCUUCAUCUUCAUGAUCAUGCCCUUUGUCUACUCUAGCAUCUUCCUCAUCAUCAUGUACGGCAUCUUCUACAUGAUGACUGUGUACUGCAUCUACUUCAUGAUCAUGUCCUGGAGAUUCUUCGUCUUCUCGCCCGCCCUCGUCGCAGUUGUCUUGCUGCCCUUCCUCAUUUCUUGCCCGGCCCCCAUGGACGACUUCAUAAUCAUCUUCAUCACCUUGCCACCGAUAGCCAUCCAUGAAACCACGCAAGAGCAGGUGGUCCCACACCUGUACAGAAUCCGGGUCCAUAAGGCUCCUUAGCUUGCAUCUUCGACACGGACAUCUUAUCUCCGUCUCGUUCUUUUGAAGCAUCUCGGUCUUCGUGGAGCUCAAAAACCUAUUCACGAUGCCUUCGGUCAUCGUGUGGACCAUGGUCGCCUGCGGGGUAGAGCAAAACGAUAUUUUAGAACCAAGAAAUUUUUUGGCAUGACUUUGCCUAAAAAUAGGACCAAAAAGAAUGCAUAGUGCCAAAUUCUCGCCGAAACGGAAAUGAACAUUCCGGCAAAAUAUUGGCAACUAUCGCAUUUCAAAUACUGGUACCUGCAAACACAAACAUAUAUGCAACACCACAAAUAUAUGCAACACCACAAAUAUAUGCAACACCACAAACAUACAUAGAUCUAGCUAGGCCAUAAAAAGUGCAUGUGCACGUUGUUGGAGGGAGGAAAAAAAGUAGAUCUACAACAUAAAGAAAGCUUUCCCCUUACUUACCUAUCAAAAAAAGGUAAUUUAACCACUUAAUUUGGAUGAAUCUAUGGUGCAAAUGAGGUGAGGAGGAGGAGGCAGCCGAGACAAGCUUGGAGGAGGUGGUGGAGAGAAUGAAGUGGGGAAAGUGAGUGUGUAGGUGGCUGUCCAAAAUAUCUACCUGGUCCCAGGUUACUAAUGGUGCACCACCUACAAAUGCACCAUUAGUAACCCUGGUUACUAAUGGCGCACUAGCUGAUGGUGCGCCAUUAGUAGUUUUGCAAAAAAAAUGAUAGUAGUGGCGCACGGGGUGAGUGGUGCGCCAUUACUAGUUAAAACUAGUAAUGGCGCACUGUGCCCUGGUGCGCCAUUAGUAUUUUUGGAAAAUAAUAAUAAUAAAUUGUUAGUAGUGGCGCACCGUGGGUGUGGUGCGCCAUUAGUGUCCAUCACAUUAAUGGCGCACCAACACAUGGUGCGCCACUGCUAUAUAGUAGUGGCGCACCACAUGACUGGUGCGCCAUUAGUGUCCAUAUUAUCUAUAGCCCUUUUCCUAGUAGUGAGUAUUCAACCCAAUUUAUUGAUUUGACACAAGGGAAUCCAAAGAAUAUUUGCAAGUAUUAGCAGACGAGUUGUCAAUUCAACCACAUCCAAAGAUUUAUUAUCUGCAACAAUAUGAUCAGUAGCAAAGCAAUAUGAUAGUUUUGAUAGUAGUAGCAAUAGCAAUAGUGAUGAUAACAAUGAUAGCGAUUUUGUAGCAAGUAUAACGGUAACAACAACAGUAGUAACUUAGCAAGAACAAUAUAAGAGAAAUUUGUAGGCAUUGGAUCAGUGAAUUCGUUGGAUGAUAUUCAUCAUAUAACAGUCAUAACCUAGGGUGAUACGACAGUAGCUCCCGUUCAUAAAUAUAAUGUAGGCAUGUAUUUCGUAAAUUGUCAUACAUGCUUACGGAAAGAACUUGCAUGACAUCAUUUGUCCUACCCUCACGUGGCAGCGGGGUCCUAUUGGAAACUAAGGGAUAUUAAGGCCUCCUUUUAGUAGAGAAUUGGAACAAAGCAUUAAUACAUAGUUAAUACAUGAACUCCUCAAACUACGGUCAUCACCGGAAAGUAUCCCGACUACUGUCACUCUGGGGUUUACGGAUCAACACGUAAUAGGUGAAUAUAACUUGCAAGAUCGGAUCUAGAACAUAGAUAUAAUGGUGAUAACAUAAACAAUUCAGAUCUGAAAUCAUGACACCCGGGCCCAAAGUGACCAGCAUUAAGUAUGGCAAAGUCAUGUCAACAUCAAUCUCAGAACAUAGUGGAUACUAGGGAUCAAGCCUUAACAAAACUAACUCGAUUACAUGAUGGAUCUCAUCCAACUCCUCACCGACCAGCGAGUCUACGAAGGAAUUACUCACUCCCGGUGGGGAGCAUCAUGGAAUUGGCGAUGGAGAAGGGUUGGUGAUGACGAAGAUCGCAAGAUCCCCCUCUCCAGAGCCCCAAAUGGACUCCAGAUCUGGCCUGCUGAUGAAGAAUAGGAGGUGGCGGCGGCUCCGUCUUGUGAAACGCUAUAAUACUUUCUCCCAGAUUUUUUUCUCUGAAAAUAUGAUUUUAUAGUAUCAGGGUUGAGGUCUGCAGGGCCACCAGGUGGGGAAAACCCACCUGGGCGCGCCAGGAGGAGGGGCACUGGUGGGUUGUGCUCACCCUAGGGCCCCCCUCCGGUGGUUCUUGGCUCCAGUAUUUUUAUAUAUUCUGAAAUAAUUCUUCAAAAAGUUUCAUUCCAAUCUAAGAUUUUUUAUUUCUGCACAAAAACAACACCAUGGUAAUUCUAUUGAAAACAAUGUCAGUCCGGGUUAGUUUCAUUCAAAUCAUGCAAAUUAGAGUCCAAAACAAGAGUAAAAUUGUUAGAAAAAGUAGAUACGAUGGAGAUGUAUCAGACCGCCUUUCUUGAUUGCGUUGGCUGAAUGAAGACUAGUUGAUUGCUCCCCCAUACUCCAUAAUGGGUGAGCCACUCUUCGGCACAUCUUCAUAACUCCAUUGUCACCAUAAUGGAUGGCAAGAAACAAGCAUGAGAUCUCUUCGUGAUGCUCCACUUGAACUUGCACACCGCAAUCUUGAUGAUGAUCACCACUUGAUGUCAUCCUCCAUGGGUUAUAUAAUAUCUUCCUUUUGAUGCACGACCAUGGAAACAUACCGAAGCCCACAAACAACUCGUAGACCAUGGGUUAGUACACAAAAACUAAUGGACAAUGCUAAUUAUACCAUGGGAUCACUUGAUCCCUCUCGGUACAUGUUGUAUGCUUUGUGUGUUGAUCAACUUGAUUCACUCUUUGACUUGGUCUUGAUCAACCUUGUAUCAUGUCUUCUACAUGACCAAUCUUUGGAUAAUUCCUUGAAUAGCACAUUGAUCAUCACAUAAACUCCUUGAAACGAACACAUGGACUUUAAGAAAUGCUUAUGGGCAAAUCCUUCAAAUAUAGCUCAAGGCAACCAUUAGUCCAUAGAGAAUGUCAUCAAUUACCAAAACCACACAUGGGGGCACCAUGCUCUUUCAAUGUUGAUUUCAAGAUGACACCAAAUACACCUAGUCUUCGCAACAACACAAUUCAAGAGCUACCUACUGUGAGGAUGCAUGCACCAAUAUUCUUUUUUAAAACAAGAUAUAACCUCACCAAAGCAGUCAAUGAACAAGAAAACAUCAACAUCAAUCACCAACAUUGGCAACCCCUGAGAAACAUUCUCCAGCAAUGAUGUCUCUAGGAAGGGAAGGAGCAGUGCACAAUUACCGUCACAGUACAAGUAAUGAAGCUACACGUUAAGUUUAUUGCCAUCAUAAUACACACUUCAGCUUUUUGGUGAACUAUCCAUGCAAAGCACCAUCUCAUUCGCCAAAAGCUCCAGCUGAAAGAGAGGGCAAAUCAUUAUACUCUAACAAUCUUCUUCUAUCUAUGCUCCAUUGAAAUUACAGUGUGGGUAUUGGAAGCUAUGUUUUGCGAUUCGAAAGCAAAAUAAUAAUAAUCUAGACCUUAUAGAAAAAUAAGCAGUAAUUGCAAAAUGUUGAUACGGAGGACUAAAUCCCAGAUAGAGAUGUUUGAAAAUUUCAAGUCCCAGUCCCAUUUUUGUCAAGUAGUAACCGCAACACCUUCUAUGCUUUACUUCCUACCUACCACCUCACCGAAAGAAUCAAUUUCUGUCAUUUUACUAAGAAACACAAAACUGUGAAUAUAAUAGGGAGGGCUACACUUAUUUGUCUAGUUAUUUCUUUAUUGUAAACUAUAUGCAUCCAACCAAUUCACGCAUUAGUUCAAUGAUUUUAUCUCAAGUAAACCAUAAUGAUGAAAUAUGUCAUAGUUGAACUAUUAGGUUUUGUGACAAAUGGCAUAACGGACUUCCUUUGGAAAUCCUUUCUCUCAACUAAGCAAGUUUAUGGGGCUUCUACGCGAGGUACAACUCCCACAAACAAACUAGGUUACAAUGUGUUCAACCGCCUUUCUAGAAACCAUUGAAGCACCAAAUACAAGAUUAUAUGUUCACUAGGGAGAUACUGCAUUCAGUUCGUCAGGGUUUGUAUAGCAUUCCUAGGUGAAUGGUUUGACUCAUACCUGACAUGCACCGCGUAUUGAAACCUUGAGACAUAAUGUCGAAAAACACAAAUUGAUAGCUAACUAUAUUAGAUCUAGAAACAUCGACCCUCAUUUUUUUAAUCAUAAAGUGAUUUUACAAACCCCCGACAUGUUGUGUUUGGCGUGUACACGUAAUAGAUUAAUGGGCCUAGCAAAAAAACAAGACAAAUGCUAGGGAUGUAUGCCUCUGUUUUUUUAUUUACCCCGCAUAUUAGUUUAACUGAAGUCAAAUGUUAUAAAGUUUGACCAAGUUUGUAGGAAACAAUAGGAACAUUUAACAUAAAAAACCUAUGUCCUGUGAAAAUAUAUUCAAUGAUGAAUCUAAUGGUAUUGAUUUGUGGUGUAUAUGUUACUAUAUUUUUGUACCACUGUCGGUGUUAAAACCGGCGGAUCUCGGGUAGGGGGUCCCGAACUGUGCGUCUAGGCGGAUGGUAACAGGAGACGAGGGACACGAUGUUUUACCCAGGUUCGGGCCCUCUUGAUGGAGGUAAAACACUACGUCCUGCUUGAUUAAUAUUGAUGAUGUGUGCUACAAGAGUAGAUCUACCACGAGAUCAAGGAGGCUAAACCCUAGAAGCUAGCCUAUGGUAUGAUUGUUGUUCGUCCUACGGACUAAAGCCAUCCGGUUUAUAUAGACACCGGAGAGGGUGUUACACAGAGUCGGUUACAAUGGUAGGAGAUCUACAUAUCCGUAUCGCCAAGCUUGCCUUCCACGCCAAGAAAAGUCUCAUCCGGACACGGGACGAAGUCUUCAAUCUUGUAUCUUCAUAGUCUUGGAGUCCGGCCGAUGAUGAUAGUUCGGCUAUCCGGACACCCCCUAGUCCAGGACUCCCUCAGUAGCCCCUGAACCAGGCUUCAAUGACGAUGAGUCCGGCGCGCAUAUUGGCUUCGGCAUUGCAAGGCGGGUUCCUCCUCCGAAUAAUUUAUAGAAGAUUGUGAACACCAGGAUAGUGUCCGGCUCUGCAAAAAUAAUUUGCACAUACCACCAUAGAGAGAAUAAUAUUUCCACAAGUUCAAUCUGCUGACGUAUUUGAUGGCAUGACGUCACACCGCUACCAAGCCUUUACUUAAAUCGUUUUUAUUGUACCACCUCAGCGCGUUUAGCGAAGCGGUUUCCUUGGCACGUCUUGUCGAAGCAGAGAUCAUGUUCCCCUUAUUCCGGGAUUCCCAUCAAUACGGACGUGGGUAACCCAACCGCGCCAUUGAUUGCGGCGCUUGGGGGAUAAGCGAGUUUUAUCAGGCCGGUGGGGACGCAUGUUUUCGUCCGCCCAUAUAAGGGGAUAAAGAUCCAACCCUAUUACCUGCGCCUUCUUCCUCCUUGGCUUACCCAUCUCUGCGAACCCGAGCUCCAGCGCCCAAGCGCGCACAUCUCACCUCAACCUUCUCCAACUAUGUCCGGAGCAGGAGGCAAGUGGAUGGCCUCCUCCAUCACGGAGGGGCAGAUCUAGAAGCUGCGCAACGCCGGAUACUUGUCCAGCGACAUCGCGCACCGGCUCCCCAAUGAGGGAGAGCUCAUCCCCACCCCCAAGCCCCAUGAGAGGGUAGUAUUCCUUCCCCAUUUCCUCCGCGGACUGGGCUUCCCACUCCAUCCCUUUGUCUGGGGGCUCAUGUUCUACUACGGCCUGGAUUUCCAUGAUUUGGCCCCGAAUUUCAUCCUCAACAUCUCGGUGUUUAUCGUUGUGUGUGAGGCCUUCCUCUGCAUCCAGCCCCACUUCGGCUUGUGGCUCAAGACCUUCAGUGUCAAGCCGAAGGUUGUGAAGGGCAGCCAAGCGGAGUGCGGAGGCGCCAUGGUGGGCAGGAUGUCCCAUGUUACUUAGCUCGAGGGAACUUUCGUGGAAACCAUCAAGGGGUGGCAAUCGGGGUGGUUCUACAUCACCGAGCCGCGUGAUCCCGAAUGGGCAGCGGUCCCCGAAUUCAGAUCCGGCAUCCCCACACGGCUCACCUCCUGGAAAGAGAGCGGCCGGACAUGGGGUGAUUCGGAGGAGCUGACAGGACUCCAAGCUUGUAUCCAAAAGCUAGUGGACAAGAAGCUCAAGCUUGUCAACGUAGUCCAGGUCAUGCUCAUCUGCCAGAUUCUCCCGUGCCAACGACGGGGCUUCAACAUGUGGGAGUUCGAUCCGGCACAGCACCAGACUUUGAAUGGGCUCUUCGACACUACAUACGAAGAUGUCUCGAAGGUGCUAUUCAAGGGCGCCGAAGCUCCCGCAUCCGCUACCGAAGAUCGCGGAUUCAGCUCAGAGCGUCCAGCUGAUGAGGUAAGUUAUUUUGUCCUUUAAGGGACGCUUGUUUUCCAUAGUUUGACUCUAUGCGGGAUCUAAACUCCCUUUCCUUUGACAGGACUAGAUGAAGAAGGCCGAACAGGCUAUCUGUCCGGCCCCAUUGCCAGAGGACCCAGCGGAUGCCCGUUUGACGGGGCUGCUAGCUUCGGCACCCCAUGUGGUGCCGGAGAAGAAGGCCAAGAAGAAGGUCACAGGGACUCGGAAGAGUUCCCGCUUUCAGGUGCUAUCGGAUGACGACUCCGAGGCCGACUCCUCUCACCAAGGUGAGGAGGAGAAGAAGAAAGCCUCUUCCCCAGCGGGGGGAGAGAAGAAAAAGAAGGCCUCCCCAACGAGGGAGGCCGAGGGGUCCAAGAAGGGAAAAACUCUUCCCCCGGACUGCUCUGCCAAUGCCAGUGAUGACGACGAGGACUGGCCUCCAAGGGCCAAGCCCUAGGCGAGAUCGUGAGUAUCCGGACUCCCGAAUAACUUCAUGGUUUAUCUUUUUUGCCACACAAUGUCUUUCUAAUGCCGCAUACAACCCUGCAGUCCGCCCAAGGACGAUCUUCCCGCUUCGUCGAGCGGGUCCUUAGGUGCGUCGGAUAUGGAUUCUCUUCCGACCGCCUCCACCCCCCGUGACACGGACGAUGCCAAGGUGGGAUCCCGGGAAGGGACCCGCCAGGAGGAGGAGGCCCCGGAGGUGUCGCAGGACAACCUCCCGGACUUUGCACCGGACUCGGCUCCGGAUCCCAUAGUGGCUCCGGAGUUCGGCGGGCGGCCCCUUCGUAAGAAGGGCAAGACCGUGACACCGGCAGCCUCCGUCCAACCGAAGGCGCCGGAUAGCUUGCUGGAGGCGCUCAAUGGCGCCUCCAUCAAAGAGGAACACCGCACUGUUAUGAGUGCGGUGAUUUAGAAGGUGCAGCUCGCCAAGAGCGGGCUGACCGAAGCCUGCAACAGCCUUCUAACAGGCUUUGAGGUAAGAAUUUUGAUAUAUGUAAAAUAGUACCGCAUAGACAGUAGCCCCUGAUGCUCGGUUCGGUGUUCGGAAAGAAAAGCCGGACUGAGGAUCUAAGAAGAUAUACGCAGGAGUCAUAAAAAAUAUGUCGAUAUGGGAUUGCAGGCUGCGCUGCUGACCUCUGCCGCACUGACUGCGGAGGUCAAUACUUUGAAGGAAGGCCUCGAGAGGUCCGAGAAUGAGCUCGGCCGUGCCAAGAAGCAGCUCGAGGACAAGGAAGGUGAGUAACACCUUAUUAAAAUUGUACCUUACAGAAAAGGAUUUUGGUUGCAAAAUGAAGGACAAGGAUAACAUGGGUAUUGCAGGGGCCACUAACGAGGUGGCGACCCUGAAAGAGGCGGUGGCUGCGACCGAACACAAUGCGGCCGCGGAGCGCACCGAGCGAGAGAAGCGGGAGGCACGGGUGGCGGAGGUACAGCAAGAGCUCCAGGAUCUCGUGAAAAAACAUGAGAGCCUGGAGCGUGACUCGACGACUCGAGAGUCUGAGCUUGCAACGGCUCUUAAGAGUGCCAAAGCCGCUAAGGCCGAAGCCUACAAGGCCCUCCAGGAAAUCGAGGCGUUGAAGAAAAUAGCAGCGGGUAAGGCAUUUUUCAUGCAAAGUAAGCAUGUGAGUGUUAAUUACCUGUUGCUUACCCGAAUUCGGAGCUCUCCAGGAGCGUUCGCAGAUCUUCCUCGCAGCGUGUCCGAUGCUGCCGCGUUCUACCGGGCCGAGGAGGGGAGCUCGACGGAGAAGGUCUUCUGGUCUCAGUAUGCUGAGGCCGGACAUCCGGUGCCCCUUAGCGACCAGCUAAAGCAGCUGGUCGAGCUCUACAAGGUGGCCGAACAGGCCAUGAAGGGCCUCAUAGUUCGGCUGUGGCCUAAGGAGGCCAUGCCUGGGAGCUACUUCGGCCUGGUGCGGCGGCUGGUGGAUGCGUGCCCGUGGGUCGAAGUCAUCAAGCACUCCGUCUGUAUUGAAGGUGCCCGUCGGGCCCUUGCCCGCUCAAAGGUGCACUGGGGCAAGAUGGAUGCCUAGAAGCUCGUGACGGACCCACCACCGGAGCGCAAGGAGCAUCGCACGCCCGAGAUGUAUUAUAAGAGUGUGCUGAAGGGCGCCCGCACUAUUGCGGGUGAGUGCUCCAAAGAUGUAAUAUUUGAGUAGACUCGCAUUUUGUUAUCCUGUGCGCUGAAAACUUAGUUCAUUUGCGCUAAGCAACGUGUUUUGAUUUAAAAUAUUACCUUCUGUGCGGCUGUUUAUCAAAUCUGAGAGAUGGCAAGUCGUCGGCUUCAGCCCCCAUGCCACGAGUGCUGGGGUGUUCGGGAUAAACUUGAGCACUCUUGUUCCCAUAUUUGGGUCCAUCUAGGGAGGCGCUCAACACAACGAACAAGGCAACCGGACUUAUAAUGCUUGAACACUCUCACUUAGCCAUAAAAUUCUAUAAUUUUAAAUUUCGGCGAAGCCCCUAAUCUUCGGAAGGCCGAAUUUGGGGCGCUAUCCAUGCCUUGGCCGGACAAAAACCGGCUCCUCGCUCUAAGCGGCAUAAGUCUUUAGGGACUCACAAAAAACCUCUCGAACAGCGACCAGCUCUCACCUCAUCAUGACGGUCAGUUUUAGCUUUCUCCACUGAGGCGUUAACCCAGCUCAACUGGGGCGCAAUCGCAGUGGUUCUCCCAGUGCUACCUUAGCCGAUACAACGGAACAUAAGGUACCAAAACAUGGGAGCCGGGCAAACCCAACUAUUGACCCAAGACAUGAUUCGGAGCUGAUGCAUAUAUUGCUAUAAGUUCGGGGUGCCGCACUUGUGAAAGUGUUCGGACUUAUCACACCAUGAUGCGGGAAACAUAAGCCCCUGGUGUAUUUAGCCAUACCAGAACGUACGGAUGCGUAAUGUCACAAAUGAACAUAUGUAUAAAAAAGAAAUGCAAUUGCAAGCAAAAAAAGGUGCUGCAUUACUUAUUAAAGAAAAAUUGUUGUAAGUGCAGAACGAUACAAAUGGUGCGAUAAGCAAGGGAUGGGACUGUUAAACAUGUCCCCCUCCAGGGGUAGGCUGCGGAAUGGUGCAUAAAACAGAUUUAAUGCUCGUAAUGGAGACCACCUGGAUAGUCGUUGUAGCCUUUCUUCUUCCCUAGCUAUUGCAUCGUGAGUUCGGCAGGUCUACUACCGGACAGGGCCUCUGACGAACGGAGUCCUGUGGGUAAAAAUAAAAAAAAGGAAAAAGAAAAAAAAGAACGACACACUUGAGAGCCCCUGGUGUGGUUGAGCCGCAGUCUGGGCCUAUCGUGGUCGUGCCCCUCUCCCCAUGCCCAUGGUAUCUUCAGAGCGUAAUGGUGUACGCGAAGGACCUGUCUUGAUGUUUUACAGGGGCUGGGGUUGGGGCCGCACUGCUACGCAUGCUCGACACGUGCCAGGUGGUCUUGUUGUAAGUUACUCCGGGCGCGCUUAGCUGUGUACGGCCGCUUAAUGGCCGAACUCGAGAAUUGCCUUAAGAGGCUGCAUUGUACUUCUGCCGCGAGAGCCGUUGUAUGUUCCUCCGUGCGGAGAGAACGUUCAGUGUUUCCGUUGACCGUGAUGACUUCUCGAGGGCCUGGCAUCUUGAGCUUGAGGUAUGCGUAGUGCGGCACCGCGUUGAACUUUGCGAAUGCGGUACGUUCGAGCAGAGCAUGAUAGCCGCUGCGGAACGGAACUAUGUCGAAGAUUAAUUCCUCGCUCCGAAAGUUAUCCGGGGAUCCGAAGACCACUUCUAGUGUAACUGAGCCUGUGUAAUUGGCUUCUACACCUGGUAUGACGCCUUUAAAGGUCAUCUUGGUAGGUUUAAUCCUUGAGGGGUCUAUGCCCAUUUUGCACACUGUGUCCUGAUAAAGCAGGUUCAGGCUGCUGCCGCCGUCCAUCAGGACUCUGGUGAGGUGAAAUUCAUCGACGAUUGGGUCUAGAACCAAUGCGGCGAAUCCGCCAUGGCGGAUGCUGGUGGGGUGGUCCCUCCGGUCAAAAGUGAUCGGGCAGGAGGACCAUGGAUUGAACUUCGGGGCAACUGGCUCCAUCGCAUAUACAUCCCUGAGUGCACGCUUCCGCUCCCUUUUGGGUAUGUGCGUUGUGUAUAUCAUGUUCAUCGUCCGCACCUGUGGGGGGAAACCCUUCUGUCCUCUAUUGUUCGGCGGCCGGGUCUCUUCCUCGUCAUCGUUGUGCAGCCCCUUGUCAUUGUUUUCGGCAAUUAACUUGCCUGCCUAUUUGAAUACCCAACAGUCCCUGUUGGUGUGGUUGGCUGGCUUUUCCGAGGUGCCAUGUAUUUGGCACAAGCGGUCGAGUAUUCGGUCCAAAUUGGACGGACCCGGAGUAGUUCUUUUAAAUGGCUUUUUCCGCUGACCGGGUUUAGAGCCUCUGAAUCCGGCAUUGACUGUUGUAUCUUCACUGUUAUCGCCGUUAAUGCGGCGUUUGUUUUUGUUGCGAUGCGACCUGCCACUACGGUCCUUGAAAUCCGGACUGCCAGAAUUUUUGCUGAGGUUAUUGCUGCGUGCUAGCCAGCUGUCCUCACCCGUGCAGAAGCGGGUCAUGAGUGAUGUGAGGGCUGCCAUUGAUUUCGACUUUUCCUGUCCUAGGUGCCGGGCCAGCCACUCGUCGCGGAUGUUGUGCUUGAAGGCUGCUAGGGCCUUUGCAUCCGGACAGUCGACGAUUUGGUUUUUCUUUGUUAGGAACCGUGUCCAGAAUUGUCUGGCCGAUUCGUCUGGCUGCUGAAUUAUGUGGCUUAGAUCGUCGGCGUCUGGUGGUCGCACGUACGUGCCUGGAAGUUAUCGAGGAAUGCGGCUUCCAGGUCUUCCCAACUCCCGAUUGACUCUGCUGGCAAGCUGUUAAGCCAAUGUCGGGCUGGUCCUUUAAAUUCGAGUGGGAGAUAUUUGAUGGCGUGAAGAUCAUCACCGCGGGCCAUGUGGAUAUGGAGGAGAUAGUCUUCGAUCCAAACCGCGGGGUCUGUUGUGCCAUCGUAGGAUUCAAUGUUCACGGGUUUAAACCCUUCAGGGAUUUGAUGAUCCAUUACUUCGUCUAUGAAGCAUAGUGGGUGUGUGGCGCCUCUGUACUGGGCGAUAUCGCGACGAAGCUCAAAAGAGCUUUGUCUAUUUUGUUCGGCCCGGCCGGACUUACUGUGUCCGGCACGACGGUUGUCGCCACGUAUCAUGGGGCGCCCACGCGAUCCAUAGAUCGAUCUUGAUUGUCUUGCCUUACCCUCCAAUAUAUCUCGCAAGUCCGGAGCGUUCCCCUGUGGCUUUGUGCUCUUCGAGCGAUGCCGGGGUACGGUUCUAGUGAAGGGCCUAGAAGCCUCUCUGUCACGACCACGGGGUGGUCGGUCAGCCGUAUUGUCUGCUAGUGAUGUAGGUUCGUAUGCCUCCUCCUCUAAUCGGGGGAGCAGCUUGCGUUUAGGGUAACUUUUGGAGGGGCGUUCGAGCUCAUGCUCUUCGGCCGCGAGGACUUCAGUCCAUCUGUCGGCUAGCAGAUCUUGAUCAACUCUAAGCUGUUGGUGCUUUUUAUUUAGGCUGUUUGCCAUGGCCAUAAGCCUGCAUUUAAAACGCUCUUGUUCGACGGGAUCCUCAGGCACGACGAAUUCGUCGUCGUCGAGGCUUGCCUCGUCUCCGGAGGGAGGCAUGUAGUCCUCUACCUCUUCUUCUGCCGCUCUCUCAUGAGGGCUGGCGUCCCCAUCCUCCCGUGCUGAAUUUUGCUAGAGUGGGUUGUCUUCGGCACUAUCUGGGGUGUUAUUAUCUCUGGUGCCGGAAUCUUCAUUCUUGCUAUGGCAGGAUUAGAGCGGCGCCGCUGACGCCGACGCUUGGGCUGUUUCUUGGAGGGGUCAUCCUCCGCUGCCCCUUCGCCAUUCCCAUCCUUUGGGAUAUCCACCAUGUAUAUAUCAUAUGAUGAGGUGGCUUUCCAGUGCCCGAUAGGCGCUGGUUCUUGGUCAUCUCCGGCAUCGUCGUCCAUACCGUCGAUGUCUUCGGAGUCGUAGUCUAGCAUGUCGGUUAGGUCAUCAACAGUGGCUACCAAGUGGGUGGUGGGUGGGUUUUGAAUUUCUUCAUCGUCCGCAUCCCAACCGUCCUGGCCGCAGUCCGGCCAGGGCUCUCCUGAUAAUGAGAGAUACUUUAGCAAACUCAGGAUGUCGCCAAAAGGUGAGUGUUGAAAGAUGUCCGAGGCAGUAAACUCCAUGAUCGGCGCCCAACCGGAUUCGAUUGGUGGGGGCGCGGGAGGUUCGUAGUCCGGCAAGGAGUCCGGCGCCUUGGAGUCACGAGCUUCAUGAGGGACAAGGUCAGUGUUCGGCUCUAUCACCAUAGAGGUUGCAGCCCCCGAGGCGGCGUCUAACCAUCCAUCCUCGAUCUGCGCAGCCGGCUCUGAAUUGAAGAUCGGAGCAGGCUCAAGUGCGGCCUCCAGGGUACUGUCCGGUCGCAGAGCUAAAUCAUGCUCGUCGUGACAGUGCGGCACGCUCGGCUGUGGCUCGAAUCCAUCGAGGAUCAAGUCCCCACGGAUGUCAGCCGUGAAGUUCAAACUUCCAAAUCUGACCUGACGGCCAGGGGCGUAACUUUCGAUCUGCUCUAGAUGGCCAAGAGAAUUGUCCCGCAGUGCAAAGCCGCCGAAUACGAAGAUCUGUCUGGGGAGGAAGGUCUCACCCUGGACUGCGUCGUUGAUGAUGAUCGGAGAAGCCAUUGAGCCUAUCGGCGACUGCACAGAGGAACUCUCAAUGAAAGCACCAAUGUCGGUGUCAAAACCGGCGGAUCUCGGGUAGGGGGUCCCGAACUGUGUGUCUAGGCGGAUGGUAACAGGAGACGAGGGACACGAUGUUUUACCAAAGUUUGGGCCCUCUUGAUGGAGGUAAAACCCUACGUCCUGCUUGAUUAAUAUUGAUGAUGUGUGCUACAAGAGUAGAUCUACCACGAGAUCAAGGAGGCUAAACCCUAGAAGCUAGCCUAUGGUAUGAUUGUUGUUCGUCCUACGGACUAAAGCCAUCUGGUUUAUAUAGAUACCGGAGAAGGCUAGGGUUACACAGUGUCAGUUACAAUGGUAGGAGAUCUACAUAUCCGUAUCGCCAAGCUUGCCUUCCACGCUAAGGAAAGUCCCAUCCGGACACGGGACGAAGUCUUCAAUCUUGUAUCUUCAUAGUCUUGGAGUCCGGGCGAUGAUGAUAGUUCGGCUAUCCGGACACCCCCUAGUCCAGGACUCCCUCAACCACCUUGGUGAAAGAAUAUAAAGUUUAAUUUUACACAAAGCUAAUAUUUGAAGUAAAUAAAGAUGAAAUUGGGUGGGGGAGGGGGUGGGUUGACGACAAACCACGACAUUCUAGAGUGUCCUUUAAUUAAUGUUAUCUCGUUAAGUAAUACUUUGCCCCUAAGAUUCGUAGGAUUCCGAAGGCGUGGAUAUGAAAAAGUAGAUACAAGUACAAUGUGAUAUCCAACUGAAUCAUAAAAUAUUUGUGAAUUUUGAACCAAAGUUUGUUUGAUUGUACUCCCUUCGUUUCAUAUCAGUUGUCAAGUGGUUUGAGUCAAUGCAAAUUUCUUAUAUAAUGCAAGCACAAUGCAAAUAACUACCAUCGCAAACAAUUAUAUGAAAAUCCACUGAAUGAAAGAGGCCCAUCAACUUAGAAAUUCCUUGCAAUAUGUACUCAUAUAAGGCCUUCCUCCUAUGCCCUUGCCCAGGCAGGGGGCUGGAGCAGCAGCGGCCCCGUCCGCCCCGCGAUCCUUGGCUUCUCAAGCCGAGUCGGUCAUGCCGUGUCCAACAUGGAUGGUUCAAAGAGGAGUUCUGGGGGACCACGCACAGGAGGGCUAGGGCUUCCUGGCCCAUGCCGCAAGAUACAGUAGACUUCUGUGUACUUCAAGACGUCAGGGGCAUCGGUGGAACAUCAUCGGAAACCACGAAAGCCGCCAGAUCGAGCCAACCUCCCUACCGUGAAGCCUUUGUCCGAGCGCCCGCCCGACGAGAGGGCAUCGCCUGUUCUCGAAGGAAAAGUGCCGCCAGCGCUUGAGGAGAACCUGGUGGUUGGUGGGGGCGAUUAUGGGGCUCCCUCCGAGGAUGCUACCCGCCUGAAGCCUUCCAUCGGGGGAGCCGAAGAUGUUGUGGCGACGAACCCGUGGGUGCAGACGCUCUUCAUAUGCAAAGCCGGUACACCAAACAAGUGUCAGACUAUGGAGUCUCUGGAGGGGCAGCAGACUCGUGUGGAAGGAGAUAUGCAUGACCAGGACAUGCUGGAGAGAACAAACACCAUGGAGGCAGUCGGCCCAGGGGCCGCUGAUGAACUGACGGGGCUCGUGGAGCCUCGUCAAGAGCAAUGAACAUCCUGAGCUGGAACUGCUGAGGAGGUGGGAACCCUCAGACAGUUUGGGAUCUCGUGAGUCUAGUACAGGCUCACUCCCCUAGUAUCGUUUUUCUUUGUGAAACUAGGUAGUCGAAAAAUGAAAUGAAGAGAUAUCGUGCUCGUUUAGGUCUUAGUGGUUUUGAUGCUUCUGAUAGCAUAGGCUUCAGUGGUGGUCUUGCUUUGUAUUGGCACGAGUCAUUGAGUCUGGAUGUAAAAACUAUUAAUGAAAGAUACAUCGAUGCGUACGUGACUGGUAUGGCAGGUGAGCCACCCUGGAGGCUUACUUGCGUCUACGGCGAACCCCGGACGGAGGACCGUCCUCGCAUGUGGUCUUCCCUUCGGGAACUUCAUCAACAAACCAACAUGUCGUGGACGAUGAUUGGUGAUUUUAACGAAGCCAUGUGGAGUUUUGAGCACUUCUCCGAAACACCACGGUCGGCAGGUCAGAUGAUUGCUUUCAUGAUGUUCUUGAAGUUUGCGGCUUGGGCGACCUUGGUUUUGCAGGCCUUCCAUAUACAUAUGAUAAUCGCCGAGGAGGGCGGGCGAACGUCAAGGUCCGCAUCGACAGGGAUGUGGCAAACAAUUCCUGGAGGGAUAUUUUCUCUCACGCCAAGGUGGAGCACCUUGUGGCGCCCAGCUCGGACCAUCUUCCCAUUUUGCUGCAGUGUGUGAUGGAGGAGCCCGUGCACACAGUCGGGAGAAAAUGUCGCCAAUAUGAGGUUAUGUGGGAGAUGGAUCAUACUCUCCCUGAGGUAAUUAUGAAUGCAUGGACUGAGUUGGGUUCAAUGCUUAAUCUCGGUGAUAUAGCUACUGGUUUGGGUAAUAUGAUGAAUAAGUUGCAGCAGUGGAGUCGUAAGAAGUUUGGUAAUGUAAUCAAGGAAAUUAAUAAAUCUCGCUCUCGUUUAGAGGAACUUAUGUCUAUGAAUGCAGACAGGAAGGAGAUUAGAGCGGCAAUAGACCGGAUGAACGAGCUCCUGUACAGGGAAGAAAUGCUUUGGAUGCAAAGAUCGUGUAUUGCUUGGCUGCGGGAAGGUGACCGGAAUACCCAGUUCUUUCAUCGAAAAGCGGUAUGGCGUGCACGGAAAAAUCGUAUAGAACUUCUUGUCGAUGAGGCAGGAGUGACCCACAAGGACCAUGCUUCUAUGGCGGCUAUGGCUACUGCAUAUUUUUCGAGUUUAUUUGCUGCUGAUACUACCCUGGCUCCAGAACCUGUUAUCGAUCUCAUUAAUACCCGUGUUACUGACCGCAUGAAUGAUGGCCUAUGCGCAGAUUUUUCAGACAAGGAGAUAGCCGAUGCACUGUUCCAGAUUGGGCCUCUGAAAGCCCAGGGACCGGAUGGAUUCCCCGCUUGUUUCUUCCAGCGGAAUUGGGCGGUCAUGAGGGAACAAGUUAUUGCUGGGGUAAAGGAAUUUUUUCGCACAGGUAUCAUGCCCGCGGGAGUGAACAACACAUCCAUUGUUCUUAUACCAAAGGUGGAUAACCCGGAGAGGUUAACAGAGUUCCGCCCCAUCAGCCUGUGCAACGUUAUUUAUAAGGUGGUGGCAAAAUGUCUGGUAAACCGGUUGAGGCCUAUUUUAGAUGACAUUAUUUCACCGGAGCAGAGCGCCUUUGUUCCUGGAUGGAUGAUUACUGAUAAUGCUUUAAUUUCUUUUGAGUGCAUUCACUUUAUUCAGCAGGAGAAAGACCCUGACAAGAGUUUCUGUGCGUAUAAGCUGGAUCUGUCUAAGGCAUAUGAUAGGGUGGAUUGGAUCUUCUUGGAGCGAAUGAUGCAAAAGAUGGGCUUCGCUUGCCAAUGGGUGGACUGGAUUAUGGCUUGCGUCACCUCGGUGAGAUACACAGUAAAAUUUAAUGGAACCCUCUUGGAUUCGUUCGCACCGUCACGUGGGCUUCGACAAGGUGAUCCCCUAUCCCCGUUUAUGUUUCUGUUGGUGGCUGGCGGGCUUUCUGCUUUGUUGAAAGAUGGAGAGGAGAAAGGUGCUUACACACCGCUGGAAAUCUGCCGAAGAGCUCCGGGUGUGUCACACUUGCUUUUUGCGGAUGAUACUUUGUUGUUCUUUAAAGCAGAGGAGGAACAAGCAAAAAAGGUUCAGGAAGUACUUAAUAUGUAUGAACGGGUUACUGGACAGUGUAGUAACCCAGAUAAGUGCAGUGCUCUCUUUGGUCCAUCAUGUGCCGUGGACAUACAGGAUAGUAUACGGGUUGUCCUUCACAUUGGUGUGAGCACCUUUGAGGAAAAAUACCUAGGACUUUCGACGCCAGAGGGUCGUAUAUCACGAGGUAAACUUCAGAAUUUGCAGUCACGGCUGAUGAAGAGGACCAUUGCUUGGGGUGACACUCUUUCUCUUGCUGCCAAGGAGAUUAUGAUUAAAGCAGUCGCACGGGCUAUCCCAACUUAUAUUAUGGGUGUUUUUAAACUGCCUAUGUCAGUGUGUGAUGAUCUGAACAGAACGGUGCGAAAUUUUUGGUGGGGAUCUUCAGAGGGCAAGAGGAAAACUCACUGGUUGGCAUGGCCAAAAAUUCUGGCGCACAAAUCCCAGGGCGGAUUGGGUUUCAAGACUUCCGGGUGUUCAACCAAGCUCUUCUCACGAGACAGGCAUGGUGCUUGCUAGCUAAGCCUGAUAGUUUAUGUGCGCAGGUGUUAAAGGCUCGGUAUUAUCCUGAUGGACGCCUUGAGGAUACAGUAUUUGCCGGAAAUGCUUCGCCUACUUGGCAGGCCAUCCAGCAUGGCCUCGAGCUCCUGAAGAAGGGCAUCAUCUGGCGUGUCGGGAAUGGACAGAGCAUCCGCAUCUGGCGGGACCGCUGGGUACCCCGGGAGCCUUCACGCCAUCCCAUUACACAGCAAGGCACCUGUCGGCUGAGAUGAGUGGCGGAUCUUCUGGAUGAUGCCGGCGCUUGGCAGAUGGACUUGCUACGCCGACACUUCCUCCCGGCGGACAUUGACGCGGUCACCAGUAUCCGCACCUCGCCCCACAUCACCGACGACAUUAUCGCAUGGGCGCCGGAGAAGAACGGUAUAUUCAUCGUUUGAUCCGCCUAUCACUUCGCCAUGGACGAGCGGGAACGUCCACUGGCUACCUCCACGAGCAGGGCACCAGAUGGUCGUCGCGCCAUCUGGAAGAUCAUAUGGGGGUGCCCUGCCCCCCCUAAGGUACGCGUGUUUGCAUGGAGAGUAGUGACCAACUCGUUGGCUACCUGGGCCAACAAAUUUUCUCGUCAUCUUGAGCUUACUGACAUAUGUCCUCUUUGUGGUGUGGAACGAGAGGACGGCUUCCAUGCAUUAUGCAGAUGCCCACUUGCUAGAGAGCUGUGGCGGAAUAUGGAGACGGACUGGCCAAUCCCAAAGCUCGAGGGAAUUUGCAAUAACGACCCAGAGUGGCUGUUUUCCCUCCUGGAACCACUAGACGGAACGGCACGCCUGGUCACCCUCAUGAUUAUGUGGCGAACCUGGUACGUGCGCAAUGAGAUUACUCAUGGAAAGAAGCCACCCCCAACAGAAGCAUCCCGCCGCUUCCCCAACGGGCACAUUAAUUCGCUUCUAUGCAUUCAUCACUACCCAAAUGGAGACGUGGAGAAAGGAAAGAUGAUCCUGCAUGUUACCCCACCGGCCACAACUUUAUGUACUGAGCAGAAGCAGGAGCUACGUUGGGCGCCGCCCGGCCCGAGCUGGACGAAGUUAAACACUGAUGGCAGUUAUGUCCCAGCUACAGGCGUUGCAGGAGGGGGCAUGGUCCUCCGCGAUGACAGAGGAGAGAUCAUCUUCAGUGCGUGUAGGGAGAUACGCACAUGUGAUAACAGCCUGCAUGCGGAACUUGCAGCAUGCAGAGAGGGCUUGGAAUUGGCUUUGCAUCGGACCAACCUACCCAUCGUGGUGGAGCUGGAUAGUGUGGAAGCGGUCACGAGGCUUACAACACAUGUGAUGGACCGCUCACAGCACCGUGUUCUAGUUGACGAGAUUCGGAGGAUAGUUACAUAAGAGGAUAGAGAGAUUUUUUUUACUCACUGUAGACGAUCUCGGAAUAAAGUUAGUCAUGAGUUGGCCGCGUACGGCCGUAGUACCCCCCGCACUGCUGUGUGGUUGCGAUCAGGGUUGGAAUUUGUUGUAAACCUAUCCAAGGCUGAUAAGCCUCCUUGAGUAAUGAAAAUCUCCUUUCACCCUGCAAAAAAAUGUACUCAUAUAAGGCUAGCUUUUUUUCCUGUUAAAAAAGAUAAAUAAUGGAGAAAUAUUUGGGAAGAUAACACUUGGCACUCGGUUGGUGGAACACGUCACAAUAUUAUUUCGAAUUGAUCUGUAACCAGAAUCUCAAUGCAAAAUACCCCAAGCAUACAACCGAGACCACGCAUGCACCCCAUCGCAUGGCCUCCACACGCCUUGUCGAUAUCCAUGGUGGCAUCUGCGCCGGCCGGGUGUCACGGAUCCCCCUUCACUCCCUCAGCGUGUGAACGUGGACGCUCCAACCCAACCGUGCCCCGUGUUCAGGAUAAGCUGGCCGGCUCGUCCGCCCUUCUUAUUGCCGCUGCUUCUCAUCUCACACGCUCCAACACUAUCCUCUCCUCCACCGAGUAUCCGCCUACGGAGUAGUACCUCGCAAGCUAGCUCGCAGCUCCGCCGCAAUGGCCACCGUAUUGAGCAGCCUCCGCUUGCCCUUCUCCGUCUGCCCCGCCGCCCCUUCGGCGCCCAUGGCGGCAUCCCGCGUCGCGCUCCCGCUGUCGUCGACGGCCGCCAGGGGCAUGAGGCUCCGCGCGCAGGCGACGUACAAGGUGAAACUGAUCACGCCGGAGGGCGAGGUGGACCUCGAGGUCCCCGACGACGUCUACAUCCUCGACCACGCCGAGGAGGAAGGGAUCGACCUGCCCUACUCCUGCCGCGCCGGCUCCUGCUCCUCCUGCGCCGGGAAGGUGGUCUCCGGCCAGCUGGACCAGUCCGACCAGAGCUUCCUCGACGACGACCAGAUCGAGGCGGGGUGGGUGCUCACCUGCGCCGCGUACCCCACCUCGGACCUCGUCAUCGAGACCCACAAGGAGGAGGAGCUCACCGCUUGAAUUCACUGAUUUGUUUAGUUCGACCCGUUUCCACCGUGCGCGUGUACCAUGCACGACAUUCGAACUGUAUCAGGAUAUUGAGGAGUUGCAAAGUACAGUACGUAAUUAGUACUUGCUGUUGUGGUCGGAUUUUGAUUGCUUUUGCUUAUUAAUGCCUAGUGUUAAUUUUCUCAAGUCAAUCAAGUAAUAAAAGGAGAUGAGAUUGUACUCCAUGUCUCCGUUACGCGUGCCUCGCGAUUCACUUAUGAUUUAGAUCCUUUUUAGUUUGCAUAUAAGUU